GGGUGCGUCUCAUAUAUGCGCCAAAGAAGAACAUCACAUAUGAUGACAAAGUGUAUAGAGAUAAAUGUCACAAAUAUCAUUAUUACAUAGCGGAAGUCUUACAAAAAUAAAUAAGAACAAUAAAGUGAACUAAGUAUUAUUCCUUGAUGCCAUCAAGCUGACUGGGAGACGCCACCUAGAUAAGCUCGUACUCCUCGUUGUAGGUUUCCUCCUGAACCACCUGUUCUUCUCCUGUGGGGGGUUUAUAUAUCGCAAGGGUGCGAUCACAAAAGAUCAUAACUCAACAAGUUGUGGGUAAUAAUGUGCAUGAACACACCAAAGGUGGGAGUUCACGUGGAGUGUAAGGCUGAUCAAUAAAUAAGGGUUAAAGCUGAGCAUUGCUUUUAAUAAGUUGGUCAAGUUUUAUUAACAGUUACUAAAUGUAAGUAGAUAUCAAACCAGAUUAAUAAUAGAUCAAAAUUAAUAAUAAAACCACAAUGUGAUGCAAAAUGAUAAAGUGAGUUUAAUUCUAUAAAUUAAUCAUGCGAGAGUCUUGAGCUACUCAUGACCGCGAGCACUGCAGUAUACCAAUUUUACACUCUGCAGAGGUUGUACCCUUUACCCACAAGUCAUGUCACCCGGUUGCCAAGGGGUCUAGAAGUCCCAUUCAUCUCUACCGAGGAGACGAGGCAGGGUAACACUACGAGGCCUUUACAAAGUUCCACUAGCUUUAGAAAACUCGCUAUAGUUUCUAGGGAGCACAAUGCAGGAAUCCCCUGUCUGACCGCCAUCAUAGCAAAAUCAACCCAAGAACCUCCCUACACCGACAACUCCCCUACUGCCCUUACCCCUUUCGGGUAAGGUAGACCUCCACUAGCUUUCCUAAUUAGUCGACAAAGGGCGUCCCAUUCUACCCUUGUGGUGGCACAUGUUUCUCAAGUUAAGCUCCAUGUUCCAAUUAACAUAAUAGUCUUAUUAUGAACAGAAUAAAACAAUAAUAAUAAAGAAUGACCAUGUGUAAUAGCUAUCUCAACACCCAAAACCACAUAUAGCAAUAGCAAAGACUACCCAAAAGUUUAGGGGUAAACAAGGUGUAAAGAUGACCAAACUAGGGUGACCUAUUGGGUCCUAUUGAAAUUAAGCCUAUGCAUGCCAAAAUGAUUAUAGAGAACAUUAUUGGGUAAAUAAAGGUGCUUAAGGGCAUAACUUGCCUUCAAUGAGCUCCUGUUCAGUAGUUCCCACUUGCUGGGUACCGGGGUCCUCAAUCACUUGCUCCUCUACUCAAAACAAUACAAACAGACAUAGUACAGGGGAAAUUAACAUCACACCAAAUAGAGAGAUAUAAUGCAUGAUAAUAUUCUAUACAUCGUAACAAGAUCGUAGGUUCGAGAAUCACUAAAUUCGGAGUCACGGAUAAUAAGUUAUGAUUUUCCAAAGGUUUGAUGUGUUUGGUACAAAAAUAACCAAGUGAUUAAUUUUAAUAUAGAUUUAAUGCUAAAACAAAGUUACCAAGUGAUAAACAAUAUUAAAAAAAUAAAAUUAUUGUGAUUGGAAUGGAUUAAAAAGGAGUUAAAAUAAAUUUUCUAGGAAUUAAACAAGUUUUGGGGUUAUUUUAACACUAAAAUCAUUUUCUAAAUUGAUUUCUCAGAUUUUUCUAACUCCCUGGAUUGCGCGCACCAAUACUAGGAAGCUCAUGGGUCUAAAUCAAAGAGGUCAGGGCCUGGCUAUGAGGGUCUUCACAUAUGCAUGGACGGCGGGUCAAUUCCUAGAACCCCGAGGGCUCAUAUGCAUAAAGGUUCGGUUGAAGGGAUAUGGAGGGUGUUCUAGCCAUUAGAUCUGAAUCCAACGCACCAGAUUAAAUGAACCUCAUACUGAGUGGGUACGCGGCCACUGACGUUGGAUUAUCGAUCUACGACACAUGUUUCACAUACGCGCGAUCUAAAAUCCUCCGUACGAUCUAGAGUUAACGGCCAGGAUUCAAUUAUGUGCAAAGGGGUACGCACUUCUAAUCUGGACUGCCCAUAGCCGAUCGGAUGACCCAGAGGUCACCACUGUCCCCCCGACCUAACCGGGUGGCGCCGCCGAGCCCCCAUGGUGGAGCAGGCCGUCGGCGCUCUCCGCCUGAUGCCCCAAACUUGGAUUCCAAGUCUAAUGGCCAGCGCGCAACGUCCUAACCUUCCUAAACUCGAAAAUCUACUACACGCCGCCGAUUAACUUGCCCAGAUCCCUAACCACGGCGAACCGUGGCAAACCGAUGCCAGAGGGGCUCCAGUGACCAAUUCCUGUCCCGUCAAAGAAUAAUUCCCUCCCCCGCAUGACACUACACCUCAAGGAUUAGUCAAUGACAACAACGGAAGCGGGCAUACCCGUGGAUUUGUUGUGAUGGAGCGGGUCCACAGCGUGGGGUGGAACCGAGGCGAUGUCAAGCGACAGUGAGCGAUUUCGAUCGUGUCUUGCCCACAGCCACGACUCCGAUCUGUGCGUAGAGCACCAGAGGCCCCACAGCUCCACCAGCCCGGUCUCCGAGCACGAGCGCAACCCCCUCCAACCCCCUCUCACCCUUCCUCUUUCUUUCGACGCCCGCGAGGGAAUCCUGGCGAACAAGGGGAGAAGGAGGUGUCCGACUCUGGAUAUAUACCCAGGGAAGAGAAGCCGGUGGGCCCAAGCUGGUGCCGGCGGUUGCGAGGAUAGGGGGAAGCUCCACCACUUGAUUCCGGCACGGCCCGCUACAUACCCGGCGUUUGUUACACGAGGAGCACGAUGACAAUGUGGGUCCACCCGUCAGUGCGUGAUCAGGGCAGCAUGGAGUCGCGCAGAUGUGACUUGCUAACGACGGCCCCACCUGUCACCGAGAGAGAACCCAGCCGCAAGUGAAAACCCAACGCGCGCGGAGAAUGGGCCAAGUGGGCUGGUUUUGGGGUUUUGGCCCAAGCGGAGUGUUAGGGUUUUUUCUUUUUCUUUUUCUUUUCCUGAUCUCUUUUCUUUUUAUUUUUUGAAUCUCAAUUUCAUAUUCAAAUUUUGUUGCCAAAUUCUUACUCAGAUAAAAUAUACAAACUCAAAUAUUAGUAUGAAAAGUUUUAUUUAUAUAUGUAUUUUCUUUUGUAUUGUAUAACAUUUUCCCUUCUCUUUCUCCAAAUUCUAAAUUGCAAAUUAGGUCUUGAUUCCAAUUUGGAUAUUAAUGUAUUUCUAUUAUUAUUAUUAAAUGCACACGUAAAUAAACUCCAACAUGAUGCAUAAAUUUUUUAUGUGUCAUUAGUUAAUUGUUCAUGAAAGGGAAAUGGGCCUAAUCAUUUCCUAUAAUCGAUUUUGUUGUUUGACGUCCAUCAUAAACUACAUAGACUAAUUAGUUUGCCUAGAUGACUCUUAUCUCAGGUGCAUAAGGUUCAACACAAACCAAGAAAGAAAUUAAGUUGGGGACUCAAAUAAAUUUGGAGCAAAGGACUUGAGAGUGUGCUGCCAGUGUCCGGUGCACCAGGCCGAGCACCAAGCGAACAGGCCACUCUCGUGUUUCUCUAGGGCGCGCUCCGCUAUAAUUCACCGGACUGUCCGGUGUGCACCAGAUAUGUCCGGUGAGCCAACGGAGCAACGACUACCUAUCGCCAACAUGUCCGGUGUGGCAUCGGACUGUCCGAUGCAUCUACAGGAUAAGGGUUCCAACGUUCAAGUCGCUCCAAACCCCAACAGGCGUGAUGACGUGGCGCGCACCGAGCAGUGAACAGUACAUGUCCGGUGCGCCACCGAACUGUUCGGUGUGCCCAUCGCCAGUAAAAACAGCCAACGGCUAGGAAGUGAUUGGAGGCUAUAAAUACCCCCAACCACCUCCUUCAAUGGCAUCCAAGUUUUCUAAACUCCGUAUUCAUGGCAAGAGCAAAGCCAAACACUCCAAGACACAUUCAAAGCAUUCAAUCCACUCCAUGCUCCCAAAAUCAACUCUAGUGCUUAGAGGCUUGUGAGAGGAUUAUUUGUGUUCUCUUGUUGCUUGGAUUGCUUUCUCCUUCCCCAUUCUUAUUCUCUAAGUGCUUUGUAAAGCUAGUAAGAGAUACCUAAGUGUGUGGUGAUCCUUGCGGGGUCUUAGUGACCCAAGUGAUUAAGGAGAAGACUCAUCCGGUCUAAGUGACCGUUUGAGAGAGGGAAAUGGUUGAAAUAGACCCGGCCUUUGUGGCCUCCUCAAUGGGGACUAGGUUCUUUGGAACCGAACCUCGGUAAAACAAAUCACCGUGUUCACUUGUGUUGAUUUCCAUUUGAUUUGUUUCCCCUCUUUCCCCUCUAAAGUUCUCUUGCUCAUAUUGAUUUGAGUUUGCUCUCAAACGUUAUCCGCAUUGAUUGAGCAACUCUAAGCAAGGAGAACAAUCUUUCUAACUCCGAUUUAAUUCUAACGCUAACCUCGGCCCUAGUGCAAGUUUAAAGUUUGUAAAUUUCAGGUUUCGCCUAUUCACCCCCCUCUAGACGACUUUCAGUUCACUUUAAAUAUGGUUGUUCAUAUGUUCUAAUAAAUAGAGGGCAAACAUAUAAGGAGAUCAACUUUCUUUUCUCAUUAUUUACAAAUUGGGUAUUACACUGCCCCCAUGUUCUUAGGAUUCGAGUGCUUUCGGCCACCCGAUUGGAGUUUACUCUCCGACACAGUCUUUUCUAUUUUCACGAUGUCUUUUUUGAGGUGCUUUCGACAAUAUUAAAAAACUAGAUGGUAUUCGUUCCCGAUUCUUUUUAGCAUGGUGGACAUUUUAAAAAGAAAUAUAGAUUGACAAAAUGGAAGCUCAUUUGUCAACCUAAAGAGAUUGGAGGAUUGGGGGUAACUAAUUUAGCCAUUAAGAAUACUUGCUUACUCAGUAAGUGGCCCUUAAAGCUUCUGAAUAAAUACGAUACAUAACAUCUAUUUUUUAAAAAAAAUAUCUUGGUUCCAAAUUGCUUUCUCGAGUUGGGAGAAAGCAAGGGGACACAUAUUUCUGGUAUGGUCUUAUGAAUAUUAAGGAAGAAUUUAUGAGACGGGGGAGGUUUUGAGUAGGUGACGGUCGAGCAACCAGGUUCUGUGUCGACAAAUGGAUCCUAAAUACACCACUCAAGGACCGGUUUCCAAACCUCUAUAAUAUUGUGCGCAGGAAAAAUGUUUUAGUUAAAGAUGUGAUGAAUGAAAAUAUAACCAAAUUAUGCUUUCGUCAAGUUAUUGUUGGUGUAAAACAUGUGGAGUUGCAUAAUUUGUCAAAUUUAUUGGGAACUUUUCCUCUGGGCCAAACUAGAGACAAAUUUCUUUGGGAGCCAUAAAGAUGGACUUUUCUCGGUUUGAUCAAUGGACUUUCUUCUAAUGGAUACCCCCUUAAAUCUUAAUAGGUUGCUUUGGAAGCUAAAACUCUCUCUUAAAAUUUAAAUUUUCUUGUGGUACUUAGGAAAGAACAUUAUUUUCACUAAAGGUAACCUAACUAAGCGCAGGUGAAAAUGUAGUAUGAAAUGCAACUUUUGUGAUCAAAUUGAGAAUAUUCAGCGUCUUUUCUUUGAUUAUUACUUUGCUAGAAAUAUUUGGAGAAUCAUUAACUUUACUCUACAGAUAGAGAGACCUAUUAGUAUUAAUCAUUUAAUUAGAAAUUGGUAUGCUAACAAGGGAACCAUACAUAGAAAAAGACUCUUAAUUGGGAUGUCGGCAAUGUUUUGGGUCAUUUAGCUUUAUCGUAAUGAUGUGGCUCUUUUUUCUAAUGAUGUCGAUAAAUGAAGAAGACUAUAAAAUAUUACUCUUUUCGUCCACAAAAGUUAGCUGUUCUUAUAUUUCGAGGAGUCAAUCAUUUUUAAUUUUAACCAUAUUUAUAUAAGAAAAUAUUUAUAUUUAUAUUACAAAAUUUGUAUAUAUUUUUGUAGUAAAAUUAUUUGAAGAUAUAAAUGUUAUUAAUAUAUUAUAUAAAUAUAGUAAAACUUAGAAAAGUUUAAUCGAGCGAUAAGGAUGGAGGGAGUAGAACAUUUUCUUGCUUCCAUAAUAAAAAAAUGCGUGACGAUGACGUGCUCCACCAGUUUGACCGAGGUUUCUCUGCUACUGCUGACAUGAACUGUAUGGGCUGGCACCUCAGGGCGCAGAGGCGGGCCCAUGGUCCGGGUCCACGGAGUACACAGCAGCGCGGCGUCCGCUGCUCCAGAUCGGCCCUGCGGAAAAAAAUUUGCUGCAGCCCGGCGGUAAAGCAGGCUGUUUGCAGCCCUCACAAAAAAAGAAUAGACCCUAUCUAUAGGUCCACAACAAAUUUUUUUCCGGCCCUGCCGUCGUACUCGUACGUGCCAUCGUCUCUAUUUCCCGGACUACCUCCUUGGCACGUCCCGUCCCGUUCCGCACCUGCCUCCUGCCGGUCUGACGGCCUAUCGCCUACAGCAACAGAAAAACAAGAAACAGCCAUGGUGCGGGGGCAGAUGCGGCAAUUCUGAGCUCGGCACGCACGUGUCUUUAAAACGCCCUCGCUUCCUCCUCCGUCCGUUCUGCUCUUGCCCCCGCCACCGGCACGGGCCGGGGCCACGCUCGCCGCUCAACGCCGCCGCUGCAAGAGGCCGCGGGUGAUUAGCCUUGAGAUUAGCGGGUACCGCUUCACUGUUACGGGAGUACCGUUUUAAUUGACGCCCGCCUGUCUCGAAUAUCGGCUGCUGCCAAAAGCGCGGGUUCGGGGUUCCUCCCCGUCGGGCUCGGGCGGCCUCGGCUCGCCUCGUGGCGCCGCUGGGCGCUAGCGGAGUGGAAGUGGAUCGACCUGUUGCGGCCGAAGAGUGGGGAGGCAACAAAAGGGAAAGCUGCGCGGAGAGCUCGGGUACCGUGGCCGGAUUAGUUAAUGCCCGCGAGCAGCUAGUCGUAGGCGUAAUUAUUUUAAGGCAGUUGUCGCCUCUGGGGACUCGUGAAAGCUUCACCUCUUUUGAGAAGCUCCGCACCACGACCUCGUCCCGCCCGCAGCCCGCUCUUCCCCGCUCCACCUCCAGGCUUCCAGUCUCUCACUCUCCCGCGCCUCUUGCUGCUGCUGCUGGCGAUAGGGAUCCCAGCGCCUUCAAGUUCGGGUGGGCGGCUAGCGCGGCGCGUGUCGGCGAGCAUAUGGUGGGCAUUGGGCGGGGGAAGGAGGAGGAGGAGCGGCAAUAGAUUUGUGGGCGCAGAGGCGGGGAUGGGGGGCAACAAGUACUGCGCGGCGAUGACGAAGAGGAGAUGGAGGGGGCUGGCAGCGGCCGCGUGGGUGCUAGUCGCGGUGGCUUGCUCCGCGGUGAUGCACUGGACCAUGCGCCGGGAGAGCAUGGACCGCGCCGAGGAGCGCCUCGUCAGCAUGUGCGAGGAGAGGGCCAGGAUGCUGCAGGAGCAGUUCGGGGUCACCGUCAACCACGUCCACGCGAUCGCCAUUCUCAUCGCCACCUUCAACUACGAUAAGUCCCCUUCCGCUAUCGACCAGGUUCGUCACCAUUCGCCCCCCUCUUCUCCGCCAUUGCUCUUGUAGAUUGCUAUGCCACGGUAUCAAUUGGCAGUUGGUUUAGCAAUAGCGGACCCCGAGAUCCUACACAUUGUUCUGUGGGUUGUCUCUUUUCUUUAAAGGAGCAAACAGAAAAAAAAGGGGAGAAAUAGAGAUAUAGAGAUGCGUUGUUGUUUGUUGACGCUUACCGUCGUUUAGCACGCCAUGAUUGCUGUGGUUGGCUGGGACAGGUGCUGUUCAUAGUCUUGUGGAAAGAAAAAAAAUGUCCAUUCCUGCGGCGGUUAGGCGGGGAUUUUUUAGGCUUAUUGGAGACGUAGCUGAACUGAACUGUUGGGUUGGUGGCACAUUGUUUGUUCAUAGAGUGAUUAGUGUGUUCGCUGCAAAACCAUCUGGGGGUUACUUUGACAUCCAUUGGGGUGUGCUCUUUUGCCAACCUUUUGAUUCCUUGUUUAUUCUGAGAAAGGUCCCUGUCGCAGAGAUUAAAUUAUGUUAGAAGCUGCUUUCUGCCUCUCUUUUCUUUUGCUUAGAUUAUUGAUCCUCAAAGCCGUCCUUUCCUGCAUCUACACUUCGUUUCUCUUCCCCCCCUUUUUUUUUGUCGAUUUACCUAUAGUUUAGGCGUGCAGUGUCAUGGGCCCAUGUUAUUUGAAGACGUGCUCGUUUUUGCAUACAAUGACCAAUCUUAUUCGUUGCAUCAUUACUUUUGGUAAAUCAACAAGAUGUCUUCUUCUGAUUCUUGCAAUUUAUAGCAUAUUAUUGUCCAGUAUUCUAUUUUGGCUUAAUAAUUAAUGUCCGACACAGGACACUUUUGCAAAAUACACGGCAAGGACAUCAUUUGAGCGACCGCUACUCAAUGGGGUGGCAUAUGCACAGCGUGUAUUCCAUCAUGAGAGGGAAAUGUUUGAAAGCCAGCAGGGAUGGAUUAUGAAUACAAUGCAGCGGGAGCCUGCACCCCCGCAGGUUGAAUAUGCUCCAGUGAUUUUCUCUCAGGAUACUGUUUCCUACCUCGCACGCAUUGACAUGAUGUCUGGAGAGGUAUGGUUCUAUUUGAUCGAUCUUAGUAUUCAUUGGGGUGUUUAUGACCCUUUGAUGUCUCUUUAGUGAAAGCAAUCUAUUUAUUUACGAUACAGGAGGACCGAGAAAACAUUUUGCGGGCCAGGACUACUGGCAAAGCUGUGUUAACAAACCCAUUUCGGUUGCUUGGAUCAAACCACUUGGGAGUAGUUCUCACUUUUGCUGUGUACCGCCCUGAUCUCCCCGCUGAUGCAUCAGUUGAGCAACGUGUGGAAGCAACUAUUGGGUGAGAUGUUCUAACUCACAUCCUUUGUUGUUUUAUUUUUAACCAAAUAUUCUAGCAUUGUCGCCUUUAAGACUCAUGUUUAACAUGUGGGUAUGAAUAAAAUUUUGUGCACUAUUAUUUGAUCAUGUAAUAUCUUGUCAUCGUGUAUCAUGCCACAUUUGUGGUUCACUGAUCAAUACUGAAUUUAGGUUGACUAUGAUGACCUUAACAUGUCUAGUAACAGGUGAUAAUAGAAACAAUGUGUUUCUUUUUUAAAAAAGGUAUAGCGUGCUUAUGGCAGUUAUGGCAGGCACAUUUAGUAAUAGAUCAUGCAGGUUAUAAUCAUUGCAGCUUGUCUCAAUUUAAUCAAAUGAUACUCUAUGCUUAUCUAAUUUUCAAGAGAAUAAUUUGCUGUGUGCUCCCAGAUAUCUUGGUGGAGCGUUUGAUGUGGAGUCACUUGUGGAGAAUUUGCUGAGCAAACUUGCUGGCAAUCAGGAUAUUGUGGUGAAUGUCUAUGAUGUCACAAAUGCUUCAGAGGCUAUGGUUUUGUAUGGACCUUCUAGUUCGGAUGAGCGCGUGCCUUUCUUGCAUGUUAGCAUGUUGGAUUUUGGAGAUCCGUUUAGGAGGCAUGAAAUGAGGUGCAGGUUGGUAGUCCUUAUCUGUAAAUCUUAAUUUUCUUGGCUGCUUUUGUUUUCCACUAAUGUUGUCAACCUGCAGGUAUAGACAAAAGCUUCCUAUGCAGUGGUCUGCCAUAACCAAUCCUUUGGGCACAUUUGUCAUAUGGAUGCUUCUGGGGUAUAGCAUUGCCGCUGCAUAUUCUCGAUAUGACAAAGUUACAGAAGAUUGUAGAAAGAUGGAAGAGCUAAAAACGCAGGCAGAAGCUGCUGAUGUUGCAAAGUCUCAGGUUUGGCCUGUUCUUUAGCACUCUCAUUUACUAGGCAUUCUAGCAUAUGCAUCAUGUAUGGCUUAGCUUAUCUAUGUUUGUCUCUCUUGCAGUUCCUGGCAACUGUGUCACAUGAGAUCAGAACACCUAUGAAUGGCGUCCUUGGUACUUAUGCAUUUAUUUUGAUAUUACUUAAUCUUCAGUUCCGUGGGCCUAUCAAUCUAAUUUUUUUCCUUCUGGCGUAGGAAUGCUGGAUAUGCUUUUAGGAACAGAUCUAACUAUGACACAGAAGGAUUAUGCUCAAACUGCUCAAAUGUGUGGCAGAGCAUUGAUAACGUUGAUAAAUGAUGUCCUUGAUCGAGCAAAGAUUGAAGCUGGAAAGUUAGAGCUUGAAGCGGUGCCUUUUGACCUGCGUUCUCUCAUGGAUGAUGUUAUUUCCUUAUUUUCUUCAAAGUCACGGGAGAAGUGCAUUGAGGUAUGUUACUGUUAAUGCUUGAAGUAGGAAAUGAUGUUGCCUGGGCCAUCACUUGAAUGGAUAUUGAUUGCUUUUAGUCCUAGUUUUUGGCUGAGCAACUGACGAAUAAUGCAGUUUUGCCUGAACCAAUCUGUCACUAUACAUUGUGGCAUAUACUUUUCCUGAUCCUUUUCCUUCUUGCUGCAGCUUGCAGUAUUUGUAUGUGACAAUGUUCCGAAGGAUGUUCUUGGAGAUCCUUGGAGGUUUCGGCAGAUACUAACAAAUUUGGUCGGCAAUGCAGUCAAAGUAAGCAACCAUUUAUGGUAUUUGGUAUCCUCACACUACAACUUCGAAUGAUGUUGGUUAAGUCGUAGAUAAGUCUGUCAUCAAAUACAUUCAGAAAAAUGCGCUGAUAUAUUUAUCGUGUGUUCCAGUUCACAGAACGGGGUCAUGUAUUUGUGCGGGUCUGUUUGGCUGAUAACUCAAAUAUGGAAGCCGGUCAGGUCCUAAAUGGAGCCAUGAAUGGGAAAGAUGGUAGAGUUGAUUCAACAACUAAUGGUGCCUUCAAUACUCUGAGUGGGUUUGAAGCAGCAGACAGACGAAAUAGUUGGCAAUAUUUUAAGAUGCUCCUCUCUGAUAAGGAGUCCCUUUUGGAUGAUCUUGAGGGAACAAAUUCUGAUCAAAGUGAUUCAGACCAUGUCACACUAGCGAUAAGUAUUGAGGACACAGGUGUUGGGAUACCAUUGCAAGCACAAGAUCGUGUUUUUACACCGUUUAUGCAGGCUGAUAGUUCAACUUCAAGGAAUUAUGGUGGUACUGGCAUCGGUUUAAGCAUUAGCAAGUGCCUAGCUGAACUUAUGGGUGGGCAGAUAAGUUUUGUCAGCCGUCCUUUUGUUGGAAGUACAUUCACUUUCUCCACCACACUGAAGCGCUCAUACAAAGAUAUUUCAGUUGAUUCAAGUAGGAGCUUGUUAGAGGCACUACCAACUGCUUUUAAGGGAAUGAAGGCCAUCUUGAUAGAUGGGAGACCUGUACGUAGUGCUGUUACAAGAUAUCACCUCAAGAGGUUGGGAAUAAUUGUUCAAGUUGUGAACAAUAUGAGUGCAGUAGUAAAAGCUUUCCCUGGACAAAAUGGAGCAACUGUUUCUAGGUGAGUGUUCUUAAGUUAGUUUAUUAGAUGCUGGAGAUACAAUUGGCUGAGCAGUGAUUCACAUUUCAGUACUUUCCCUCACAUGGAGGCUCCCUCAACCGCAAGCCUUAUAUGUGAAAUGGGAGCUCUGUUUUAAAGGCGACGUCUAGGCGCCCCAACACUCCUAGGCGUUCCCGUCGCGUAGCUAAAUCAGCAAGAGGGCAGAGAGAAAGAAGGGGCGGCGCCGAAUCAGGCCGCCGGCGGCCGAUUCGGCCCCAGCGACAGCUGAAUCAGGGCGGCGGCGGCCGAAUCGGGGAUGGCGGCAGCAAAAUCAUGAGUGGCGGCGGCUGAAUCGUGUGAGGAGAGAAGGAAACCACGGCUGAAAAAGGGGAGGGGAGAAGGAAAGCAGCAGCUCAAUCGAGGGGGGAGAGGGGGGAAACAGGGGGAGAUAUAGGCUGGCUUCUUUUUCUUCCUCCUCCAUGCUGCUGUUUUAUGCUGCUGUUUUGUUGGUUCUCAUGUUGAUAAGGUGUCACCUUGCUCGUCUUAGUUGUCGCCUAGGCGUCCAGACCAGGUGGUAGUUCAACGUCUUAUCUUGCCUUACCGCUUUAAGAACCAUAAACGGGCUAGGGAACAUUUCUUUUAUUAAAUUGUGUGACUAAAGAUUUGAAUUCGAAACCUGGUUUUGUUACCAGCAUGUUAAGCUGCAUGCACUGACGGCCUCAACAAAGACCCUAAGGGCUGGUUUGGUGGACAGGGAAAUGAGAUCCCCUCCAUUUUUCUGUCCACCAAACCAGCCCUAAACUGGUGGGAAAGGCAGGCAACUCAUUAAUAUAUUUUACUACAUAUAAUAGAUAAACCGUCUAUGCCAUCAGUCUGUCCUGAAUAAGCUAUUUUCUUUUUUGAAAAAGUAUAGGACCCUAAAAUCCUUGACUGACCUUUUAUCCCCAAACUGUUUUGGGGAAUAGCAUAAAACAUUCUUAAAGCACCUGAAUAUGCACUUUAUAAUUGUUUUGUAUGACAUCUGAAAUCAUCACAUUUAUUCUCUUGUAGGGAAAAGGCAACCAUUCUUUUUAUUGAGAGUGACUUUUGGAGGCCCGAGACAGAUGUUCAGUUAUUGAACCAUCUACGCGAGCACAAGAAUCGUCAGUUGUCUGAUGGGCAUAAGGUAGUUCUUUUGGUCACCUCCGAAGCUGAUAAGGACAAGUAUGGAUCCAUAUUUGAUAUUGUGAUGUGCAAGCCUAUAAGGGCAAGCAUGAUUGCUUCAUCUAUUCAACAACUGCUCAAAGUAGAGAUGCCUGAAAGAAGAAAUAAUCAUAAUCGGCCAUCAUUUCUUCGCAGCCUGCUGGUUGGGAAGAAUAUAUUGGUAGUAGAUGAUAAUAAAGUCAAUCUUAGAGUCGCUGCAGCUGCACUCAAAAAGUACGGUGCUAAUGUUAGCUGUGUUGAGAGUGGCAAAGAUGCUAUCAGUCUACUUCAACCCCCACAUUGCUUUGACGCAUGUUUUAUGGAUGUUCAGAUGCCAGAGAUGGAUGGGUAUGGAUUAAAUAAAUAUAAACACGUUUGUCAUUUCCAUCAUGUUGUUUGAAGUUUGUUUGCUAGGUGAAGUAAAUCUCCCCACUGAUCAUCAGUUCUCAAUUAUUACUUUUUUAGGUUUGAGGCAACAAGACAAAUAAGGCAAACAGAGAUGAGAGUUAACGAGGAAAGGAAGAAUAAGUUGGUGUUGAUUGAAGGCUCAACAUUUGUUGAGUACCAUUUGCCUGUUUUGGCGAUGACAGCCGAUGUUAUCCAGGCAACUUACGAGAAGUGUAUAAAAUCGGGAAUGGAUGGAUACGUGUCUAAACCCUUCGACGAGGAGCAGCUAUACCAAGCAGUCUCCAGAUUAAUAGUGGGAACGACAGAUUCGACUGUUUAAUAUUUAGAUGGCUAUGAAUCUGAUUUCUCAUUCAUCGAAUUGAAGCACACCACCAUGUUGCUUCUGUCCAAGUUUGACUCUAACCCUUAACAAUUGUCUGACCUGGCCUCUCGCAGCACUAGAUGAAAAGGAUGAAAGUGCCACGAGUUGGCUAUGUAUCAGCACCACAGAUGAAGUUGCCUCACCCCGGAGUGUAGGUUGGUAGAUCACUCUCUUCUUUGAUGUUUAUAGGUUGUUGUAUAUCUUCUGACAAUUCAUUGGAAACCACAUCUCGUUGCGACAUUGGAGGACAUCUUCAAUGCUGGUAAAUUUGUUAUAGGAAUAUCCUUUAAUGCUGGUAUUUGGUACUCCCUCCGUCCCACCAAAAAUAUAAAAUUCGUUUUGGACUAAGCAUAUAUUAAUUAAUUAAUUUAUGGAUAUAAUUUGUAUAUAUAUCAACAUUUAUUAUCAUCUAUUUGAAUGUGGAUGGAAAAAAGUCUAUAAAGAACUAUAUUUAUAUUUUGAAAUGGAGGGAAUAAUAGAUACUCUACUUAACAUUGUCUACUCUUUGAUUGUGGCAACUGAACCCAUAUAUGCUAGUCAACAUCGAAGUGUCAACAAAUACCAACACUGAACAGGAAUGUCAUACCGCAAAUCCACAGAACGGAAAACCGCGCCUGGGCUAUAGCACGUCAGAUAGAUAGGAUGAAAAUGAGUUCUCUCUGCAUCUUAUUUCUGCCGAGCAGUGGUUCUCCUGCUGGUGACAUGUUGUGCGGACUUCCUAAUGUAAAAGCGUGCUAGAUGUCACCUCCUGUGACGACCGAGUGUGUCAGUGCGGUGCUGCGUGCCGGUACCAAAUCAAUGUGUGAUGUCAAAUGACGGGACACUCUUUGCGUGCAGUCCGUGUACCAAGCUACAGGGACGGAGGGAGUAGAUACAUAUAAAAUGGAGAAAAUCCGUUUAUUGCCAUCAAAACUUAUACUGAUCACUACAAUACCAUCUAAAAUGAUGUGCUCCCUUCAAAACCAUUGGUUUAUAUUUUCUAUCCUUUCAUUGCCAUUGCCGUUACAUGCCACUGUUAAGUGGUGCACGGGCCCACGUGUCACCUUUUAGAUGGCAUUUUGAAGCUAGCACGAGCUAGUAUGAUCUAGUUGGUACUGGAUCAAUUGAAUCUGAUAUGUGCACCCUUAAUUUUUAUUUCAUUUCAGUUAAGGCUCCACUCCAUUAAGGCCCACCGCGCUAAACUAUGUGCACACCAAUUUCAGCAGCAGCUACGUGUGAAAGAAUUAGGAUCCCCCAAAGCGUUUUCAGCCAAUCAUUAUCAUUGUAUAAUGGUAGAGUCGUAGAGAAGUACCGCUACCUGCUCAAAUCGAUCCUUCUAGCUAGGUAGCAUCUUGAAAUCUGGACACACCACUACUGAAAACAACAUCUUUGCCGAGUGUCUGAAGUACUCAGCAAAGAUGGGAAAACACUCGACGAAAGAUUUUACCGAGUGUGAUAAGGUAUUCUGGUAGUGCAGAUGUAUAAAUAUACUAUUUCAUAAAUCACCCUAGAUUCGUUCAUCUAUGUUACCAUCAUGACACAGUAGUAGUCACGAUAUCAAGUCGUGCUGCUACCGUAUCGCUUAGCUAUAGGUUAACAACCGACAUCCGAUACUUAGCUAUAGGUUAAUAACCGACAUCCGACAGAGUAAUCACGAUUUAUUUCUUAUAUGAGCCGUAAUAUUAGGAUUUGUGAUCGAUUGCAUGGCAUAUUGUUUCUCAUCUAGACCGAAAAGAAAGCAUAUAUUUAAUACUCCCUUUGUUCUAAAAUAUUUAAUGUAUUCAUUGAUAUUCAAAUAUUUGAUAUGACAUAAAUUAAAACUAAAUUUUAGCCAGGGGAAUCAAACACCCAUGCGGCCAAGAUUCUAGUACUGCUAGUAGAGUGGAAGAACAUUUUAGGAGGAUCUAUAGCAGCGUAUAUUUGCUAGCUUCUUUAUUAUCGACAAGAGUAACGGUGAUUUUUUUAAACUAAAUAUCAAGCUCAAACUAUUAAGUGUGAUCAAUGCCAUCUUAAUGGUGACAUGGGGCCAUGCAUCACUCAACACUGAGAUGUCAUUUGGUUUAUAAAAUGUAACGUAAAUGAUAAUGGUUCGCACUCGAUUACCAACGGUAAUAAGUUUGUAUAGAUCGGUGUCAAUUCCUAUUAUAUUAUUUGAUUAUGGUGCAUUUAAACAAACAUAAUUUAACGUUAUCUGUUACCCAUUAUAUUAAAAAUAUGUGAACCAAACAACACCUGAGAUGUAACGGCAAUUAUAUUGAAAGGAUAAAAAUAUAUAAAUAAAUGGUUUUGAAGGAAACAUAAUUUUAGAUGGCAUUGAAGUGAUUGAUAUAAAUUUUGAUAGUAUUGAAAGAAUUUUCUCUACAAAAUGACUAGCAGUGCGGCGUAUACGCGUACCGUGCAUGCUUCUGCCAGGUCAGGGCCUGCCUGCAUGAUGCGUCACCCUGCCAGGUCAGGCCUACCUCGAGCAGCACAUCGCACAUGGAAGUAGUAGUACUAGGUAGAGUAGAGUACGAGAGCAUCUGAGUAGAGUACGAGAGCAUCUGCAUCGCUGUGGCUGGUGUGCUGAGCUGCGCCAGGCGUCAGCCGACCGUUCAGCCUGAACGCCGGUGGACUGGCUGGACUGUACGGGGUAGAGAUGACAAUGGGUAAAUAUCUACCGGGUAUUAAUACCCCAUAUCCAUACCCACGACAAAAAAAUAACUCCACCGGGUCACCCAUAUACACUGGUGGGUAUGAAUUUAUCCCCAUACCCAUACCCACGUGGGUAUGGGUCACCCAUCGGGUCACCCGUACCCACAAAAUUAAACAUCUAUCAAAAUAUUAUAUUAUACAAAUAUCAAGUACAUCCAUCUAAAUAUCAUUACAAAAUUUCUAGCAUCAUUUAACCAUCCAUUCAACACACAUUGGGUGAAUUACAUGUUUCAUUACAUGGUCAUUAAAUUGUCGUUAAGCCUUCUAUGACAUAAUGGCCUAAAAGGUUAUUAAAUAGUAAAAAAGAUGGAUGACUAAAGUCUAAGUUCAUGCUUGGGCUAAGUUUAUAUUGGGUAUUUUAUACUCACGGGUUAACGAGUAUGGGUUAAGGUGGAACGUUCUAAUACCCAUUUACCCAUUGGGUGAAGAUUUUUGCCCAAUAACAGACCCACGAGUAGAAUAUUUAGCCCACAUACAUACCCUAAUGGAGUAAAUACCCAUCGGGUAUCGGGUCGCGGGUACCCAUUGCCAUCUCUAGUACGGGGUCACGGCAACAUGUUGGAGUCGGGCGGCGAUCAAUCUCCUAGACGGGGGCCCGAUCCCACGACAAGCAACGCGUAGAGUCGGCCCAAAAGGUUCGCAAGCCUGUUGGCCACUGCAUCUCCACCAAGUUAACUAAUUAUUAUUACGACUACUAGAUGUCAUUUUAGGUCGAUCCAAUUAUCCAAAACAAAUUAGAGCGAUGUGAGCAUAGGGCCCAAAAUAAUCAACCUGCUCGCCAGGUAUGUUACACGAUGAUAAAAACAAGUGACUUAAAAUAACUAGUAUAUAGCUCGUUCUAGCGCUACCAUCCAAUAAGAGGAGAGAGAUUAAUGGCGACAAUGACAACGCGAGUGGAGGGGUUAACGUCGACAACGGCGGCGAUGCAAGUGAGGAAAAGGGGGCGGCAGGGACGUAGGGGAGUCUGGAUGCGACGGGUUACGAGGGAGAGAGGGAGGAACGAGUGAUGAAGGAUGAUCCAAAUAAUAUUGUCUAUUAGAUUUGACUGAGUAAGGGAGAGAGAGUUAUCCAGCGAUCUGAACCGUUGGUUUUGUUGGUGUGUUAAGUCCGAGUGUAAUUUUUUUAGUGAAUCUAGUGAAGGUUAUGAGUGUGGUGGUGAUUUGGUUAGGUGGAUUUUGUAAAGUUUAAAGUGGUGGAUUCUUACACGAGCUAGGCUGGGGUGUCUUACCCACAUAUCGAAUUUGAGGGUAUGUUUUGUUGGAUGUACAAGAAGUGAUGGAAGGGACGGCCAUAAUUUCUAUAGUAUUUAGAUUAGAGUCACGUGGGUGCGAGAUAAACACCGGAGUAAUUUUUUGUGGCGGUGUGAUCCAAAAAAUCGAGAGGACGAUGUCGUCACCGCUUAAUCCUACUUUGACCUCGAACUAAACACACGGUAAAACUCUCUUGGAAACAAAGACCCCCAAUAAAUUUAAAUAAAAAACACCUAGAACUAUCUAAGGAUUAACUGACAAUUCAAACAGUAUAUGAUGAACUUUAAGAAGAAUACUUAGGCCGGACAGAUGGAAAAAGGAGAAACGACACAGACUUUAAUAAAAAACACCUAGAACUAUCUAAGGAGAAAGGGCUGCACAGACUUUAGAUGGAAGCACUUUAAGGUACCAAACUUGUUAAUAGAAAUCUAUCUAAUAGAUUAUACUAAUAGGUGAACAAUAUUAAUACUAUUUGUUAUUUGGAUUAUAAUAGAGUUGCUUGGGUGCAUUGGAUGGCACACAUGUAAAGGUGACUGUCCCAACUAAGCUGAAGGGGAGAUAUAGGUCAAGAAAAGGAGAAAUUGUGACAAAUGUGUUGGGUGUUUGUGCACCUGACAUGCAGUUUAUAUAUGUCUUACCUGGUUGGGAGGGUUCUGCACAUGACAGGCAUGUGCUUCGAGAUGCCAUCUCGAGGCGGAUGGAUUACGUGUCCCUCAAGGCGAGUUAUGUCCCUUCAUAUUGAAAAAACAAUUAUUUAGGCAUAGUUAUUGGUGUUAAACUUAUACUUUCUUUUUGAGAGCACCUAGAGGAGGGGUGAAUAGGUGAUCCUGUAACACUUAAAACUUAGGCCACAAAAACUUGGUUAAGUGUUAGUACAAUAACCGCCAAGUGGCUAGAGAGGAAUCUUCAACAAAACACAAUAACCAACAAGAUCAAUCACUGAGAUGGCACGGUGGUUAUCCCGUGGUUCGGCCAAGACCAACGCUUGCCUACUCCACGUUGUGGCGUCCCAACGGACGAGGGUUGCAAUCAACCCCUCUCAAGCGGUCCAAAGACCCACUUGAAUACCACAGUGUUUUUCUUGCUUUUUCUCAAUCCCGUUUGCGAGGAAUCUCCACAACUUGGAGCCUCUCACCCUUACACUUGAAAUUCACAAAGAAACACGGAGCAAGGGAGGGAUUAGCAACGCACUCAAGACAAGAAAUCACAGCAACACCACGCACACAAGUCGCAACGAGAGCUCACAACACAACUCAAUGAGUUCACCACUCAACUAGAGCUCUAAUUGCUAUCGCAAAGAAUCAAAGGCGCGGAAUCGAUGUCUUGGUGCUUAGGAAUGUUGUAGGAAUGCUUAGUGUGCUCCUCCAUGUGCCUAGGGGUCCCUUUUAUAGCCCCAAGGCAGCUAGGAGCCGUUGAGAGCAAUCUAGGAAGGCUGAUCUUGCCUUCUGUCGACUGGCGCACCGGACAGUCCGGUGCACACCGGACACUGUCCGGUGCCCGAUUUCUUUCCAAAUAUGGCGCAGUCGACCGUUGGCAGCCUGAGAGCCGUUGGCGCACCGAACAUGUCCGGUGCACACCGGACAGUCCGGUGCCCCCUUCUAGCCGUUGGCUUGGCCACGUGUCCCGCGCAGAUCGCGCGGCCGACCGUUGGCCCGGCCGACCGUUGGCUCACCGGACAGUCCGGUGCACACCGGACAGUCCGGUGAAUUAUAGCCGUACGUCGCUGGUGAAUUCCCGAGAGCGGCCACUUCACUCGAGCCAGCCUGGCGCACCGGACACUGUCCGGUGCACCACCGGACAGUCCGGUGCUCCCAGACUCAGCAGAUUCUUGGCUGCUCGAGCCAAGACACUUUCAAUUGGAUUUUUCCUGUUUCCAGCACUUAGAGACAAUACAUUAGUCCAUAAAGCAAUGUACUAAGUCUGAGAAACAUACAUUUAUCCUUGAUUUGUACUUUGUCCACCUUUUUACACUUAGGCACUUGUGUUGGACACUAAAUCACCAAAAUACUUAGAAAUGGCCCAAGGGCACAUUUCCCUUUCACUUUUUUCCAUGUUAAGGUUGCUAUUAUCUUGUUGAUGCUGGUUACACAAAUGCAAAUGGUUUCUUAGCACCAUAUCGAGGACAUAGGUAUCAUCUAGGAGGUUUCACUACUCAAAACCCACCACAUAGUGCUAAGGAGUACUUCAACUUGUGCCAUGCUAGAGCUAGGAAUAUUGUUGAGAGGGCAUUUGGAAGGCUCAAGGGUCGGUGGGGAAUUUUAAGGUCUCCAUCGUUUUUCCAGUCAAGACUCAAAGUCGAAUUAUAAUGGCAUGUGCCCUCUUGCACAACUUAAUUUUGCAAAAUAUGUCUAGAGACCCAUUUGAAAAUGAUGAGGAGCCAGCUAUGGAUGCAUCAUUUGAAGUUAUGGAUGGAGAAAUCAGUGAACCAGAAUUUAUCACGUGUGUCUCAACAUCUAAUGAAUGGACUGAUUUCCGCAAUAAUCUUGCUCAGGGGAUGUAUAAUAGAUAUAGAGCUAGGUCUAAUAACUAAGGUUUGUAUCUUUUGUCUUUGAUGUUAUUCAUUAUUUUUGGCAUGUUGCUUAUACUUUCAUAAAUACUUCUUGUAGGACAUGAACCAAUCAGAGAGCUCAAGUGUUGCUCGGGGAAGAGGGAAAAACAAAAGGAUCUGGACUUAUUAUGAGGAUGAGGAGUUAAUUAAAGCACUAUAUGAGAUAUCUUUAGAUCCAAAGUGGAAAAGCGAGGGAGGUUUUAAGAAUGGGUAUUGUUCUGUUCUAGAAAAUGAACUCAAAGCAAGGCUACCAGGGUGUGGUCUCAGUGCUAUUCCACACAUUGAGUCUAGAGUGAGGCAUUUUAGGACCAAGUAUGGUGCUAUUGAGGUCAUGCUUGCUAAGAGUGGUUUUAAUUGGGAUGACAACAGAAAAAUGGUGCAAUGUGAGAAACAACAAUAUUAAGCCCAUUGUAAGGUAACAACAUCUCCUACCUUGGUUUCUGAAUAUACUACACAAGUUCAUACACAAUUUAGUCUACUGUAUUAUUGAUGAAAAGUUUGUUUCUUUGUAGGAUAAUCCUGAUGCAAAGGGACUUUAUGGUAUUGCAUUUCCACAUUUUGAUACCUUGGCUGCUAUAUAUGGCAAGGACAUAGCUACUGGAGAAGGGGCCGAGGGGCUUGGUGAGGCUGUAAUUAACAUGGAGAAAGAAAUAGCUAUGGGAGAAGAUUGUCCAGUAGUGGAAGAGGAUAUGGUUUCUAUGGAUACACCACAAUGGUCUAUGGAUAAUAGGAACUCAGAUCAUUCAACUUCAUCGAGCAGCAAAAGAAGGAAGAAACACAAAGAUAAUAUGUCAAGUGACCCAUUCUUGGAUCUAGCAAGUGGAAUUCGUGGUGAUCUUAACAAAACCUCACAACACUUUGGAAGGAUGGUAGAAGUGAUGGAGAUGGAAGCAAAAAAAAAAGGAUCAAAUGCAAGAGUUACAAGAGAAGUUUGUUGUUGAGUUGACUAGACUUGGUUUUGGUGAAGCUCAAAGGAAGUGACUUGUUAAAUUAUCAAUGAAGAAUGUCAUGAGCAUUUGGUGAAGAGUGAUCGGCAUAUAAACUCCUGAAAGUUGCUUAGAUCUACUUGAGCAAGUAGAUAUGUUUACCGGUGAAACAUAUGUUUACCUGAAGACCAAGUACUCUGCGGUCUAUAAGUUGCUUGCUAAUCAUGUGUGCCGCUGCCCGCUGCGCGGUAGGGUAGUCCUUGAACACUCUUGCCGACACUAGCUAGUUUCCAGUAGACCUAAAACUAACAGACAUAGUACACAACGACGCUUUAGGCUAGGCUGCACUAUAGAUGUCCAAACGGGCCACCCGGCACGGACCCGGCCCGAACCCGUUUCGGCCCGGUACGAAUAGGGCCGGGCCAGGCACGGCCCGUUGAUGCUUCGGGCCGGGUCGGGCUGGCCCACGUGCCUAAGGACAUGCCCAAACCUGGCACGCACAGGGAAAAAUCGUGCCGGGCCGGCCCGUUGGCCUGGUGGGCCUCAAUGGACCGGGCCGGACACUGGCCCGAACCAACAGUAGAACGGUAUAUAAAUACAUAUAUUUAACAUAAUUAAUCAUAUAUAAUAACAUAUUAUUUAUAUAUAUUAAGACAACAAAAUAUUUAUGUAUGCAUUUUAUAUUUAUGUAUGCAUUUUAUAUAUGUUUGGCCGCGUAUUUAGUAUUUACAUACUAUGAGAGAAUUAAAUAUAUUUACAUAUUUAGUAUUUACAUAAAUAUGCGGGCCGCCGUCGGGCCGACCUAUUUAUCGGGCCGGGCCGGGCCAAAGCACGCGGGCCGCCGUAUCUGCCCAUACCCGGCCCGCUAAACGGGCCGUGCCGGCCCGGGCCCGUAACCGAUCGGGCCGGGCCGUAUUUGGACCGGGCUAAAUUCGUGCCGUGCCACGGGCCAAACGGGCGGCCCGCACUGUUUGGACAUCUAUAGGCUGCACUAACAAAUACAAACACCAAGCAGCUGCAGAGAACGACGACCGUCCUGCAACAAAUAAAGAACUCCAAGGCUAGGACUGCAGCAGAUGGAGCAUACACAUACGCACACCAGACACCGCGAGUUUGCUUAGCUGCUGCUGGCAUCAAGAUGGUAAUCAAGUCCAAACGGGCGAGACGAACGGAAAGGGGGUGACACCGAUCGACCUCGACCGCACGCACCACGCCCCUGCACGCUACGCAACUCAAUAUUACAUACAGACGACUGCGGCACGUCGCCUACUGCCAGUUGGCCGUGCGUAUUCCAUGCACGGCCAACUCAUCACAAGUCACCGAUCGAGACCGGCCAAACUACGUACAUGGAGACGUUCAGAAAUGAAGGCUCCGGUCGUCUCCCUUUUUUUUUUCAUGCAACGCUUGUAGCUAGUAGUAUGCAUGCAUAUGCAUGUGGCUGGGCCGGCGGCGCGUUGGAUUGGAACCAUCAGAUUUGGUACACUGCAUGCAAAGUUGCAAACUCGUGUCGACAGGUGGCGCGCUAUAUGUCAUAUCGAUCUGCUACAGUCUGAUCGACUUCAACGCACAGAUUUGGCUAAGUUAGGUGCCUGUAUUUGACUCACGGGUAGUCCAUCGAUCGUUAAACACACAAGACGUGAUGCAGUCGAGCGACUGUACGUAUCCAUUAUUUGUUUUUUUUUAAAAUGGAACAGAUCCCCUGACAACCAAACUAAACUCUGGAUCAUUUUCUGGCAGAGAGAGACUGACAAAUCGGUGUGGUUAGCAUGCUAGUAUAGCAGCACCAAAUCAGAGUUCAGCAGAGAGAGAGAGAAAAGAGAGAAAAAAAAAGGUAGAGUCGAAGACUUCGAAACGAGAGAAAAAAAUAAAAAAAACGUUUGAAUCCUCUGGAGUUGUCAACGACCUCUCGGUCUGGGCGGUUCGGUAGUGCCUAACAUCAACUGUGCGUCGGUAGCUAGUGCCAUCCUAAGGGCCUGUUUGUUUACCCCAAUGGAUUAUAUAAUCUGGAUUAUUUUUGAAAGAUUAUAUAAUCUGGAUUAUAUAAUUUGGAUUAUAUAAUCUGAGUAGUCUUGUUUGUUUAUCUAGAUUAUCUGGCGUGUUUCUGUUGGGCGGCGGGCUUCUCCGAUCCGAUAGGCGCAAAAACGAUUCGGUAGAUUAUAAUGGCAAUGGUGGGUAAUUUCUAGGAAACUUGAAAGGGUAGUGGGGAAGUGGGAAAAAAAUAAUCUGAAAUAAGCACCUCCUCACUUGCUUAUGGAUUAUCAUAAUCCAAGGGGUUAGAUUAUAUAAUCUGGGCAAAUAAGCUAGACUGUUUGUUUGCCUCUUAGGAUUAUUUAAUCCAGAUUAUAUAAUCUGGAGGGUAAACAAACAGGCCCUAACUCCCGUUUUGACUCCAGGAGCUUAUAUAAUUGGUUUUUUUUUCUUGCAGGGAAACAAAUUAUAGUAGUAGUUUUUUUUUCUUGCAGGGAAACAAAUUAUAGUAGUAAUUGUUUCGCCGUGCCGUCCCACGCCCCGAAAGACAGAUAUUCCGUGUGGCCCACGCCGCCCGGACACCGUCAGAGUCAGACAGCACGUUGACAACGUGGCGAAAGCAUAAAGCAACUCCGGGCGGCAAGGUCAGGCCACCGCGCGAGAGGCGGCAGGACGCCACCCAGAUGGAGCGACAGACAGACAGACAGACAGCGAGCCGUGCCGAAGCAGGAGAUCGACCGCAGCAACGCAAUAGAUAUAGGGCCUGUUUGGUUCGGUUUUUUUGUGAAGAGCUUUUCUGAAAAGCUGGCUAUGGUGAAAAGCUGGCUGUGCAGAGAAGCUGGUGGUUAGAAUCUAGGUGUUUGGUUCGACUGCUGUGGAGAAAAGCUGGUGGUUAGAAUUUGGGUGUUUGGAUACGCAGAUUCUGAGAUUGUAGAUUCUGAUUCAAAAAAGGAAACAGAUAUAUACACCGAACCAACAAGAAGGUCAUUACAUUAAAAUUAGUAGAGUUCAUUAUAACAUAACUAUCGGUACAUUGACAUAUUAAACUACAACACUAAUGCAUUAGCAAUUGCAUCUCGAAAUGCACUCAUGUCUAACUCAUCAGAUGUGGUACUACUGCUCUCAUCUAUGGGUACAUCAUGAGCAAGGCUAGUAGGUACAAGUUGGUCAAAGUCUCGAUCGUGUAGAGCACUGUCUCGAAUAAAGUUAUGCAAUGCCAUGCAAGCAAUAAUUAUCUUGGAUUUCUUCCUAAGCGAAAAUGAAGGUAGAUUCUAAGUGAAAAAAGGAAACAGGCAAAGACACAAUAAUCAACGCCUCAUUACAAUAAUAGUUUUAAUAAUCUAGAUCAGUCACAAUAACCAGAUCGAACCACAAUACCAUAAACCCAAAAUAAAUAAAUUGAUACAUAUAUGUACGAUUCAACAAAAAAUCAAAGUAAUGCUCAAGUCGAAGUUGAAGCGUUAGCUUUGUUAACAAAGGAAUCAUGCAUCACUAAUUCAACAAGUCACUAGAUACAUCGUAUGGCACAAAGCAACCGUCUAUCAGGUUCGGCAUGGUGGCACUGUACUGCACUGCAGGACGACUGACGACCGAGAAGCGGUUGGGAUUCCUGGAGACGCGAGGGAGUGACCGCUUUUCUCCAACAGCUGCAUAUCCACUUAUCUUUAAAGCGCUUCGCCUCGCAGUCAGCAUGGAAUCUACGCGUUUGGAUGAACCGGACGGAUUAUGGCCGCCAGAAGCCGCUCAAAAGCGGAAACAAACGGGAUCAUAGGUAUGGAUAAAUAACCGUACAUACUAACAGAUAUGAAUAUGGUGGAAUUUGACAUCCGCGAAUACGGUUAUAGAUAUAAUAAGUUAUCCACGGAUAAUUUUUUCGCGGGUAUGAAUAUACAGUAUCCAUACCCGUUACCUAAUGAAUAUCUGAUAUGUAGGUCAUCCAGAUUUAAUAUAUUAUCAUAAAUUCUCAUUUUUCAAUUCUUAUCCAUGACAUGUUGUUUGAUGCUGAAAUUAUCAAUUAGUGUUGCUGGAAUGAUAAUUAUUUUGAAAUGUGAUAAAAUUGUUGUUUGAUGUUGAAUGCUAAAAUUAUAGUUGGCGGGCGCAAGGGCGGAUUUGGGCCCCGGGCCACCUGGGCCGUGGCCCGGGGCGCAGCCUAAAAGUCCUCUUGUUUAUAGUUUUUUCUAGCUAAAAAAUCUUGCUUAAAAUACAUUUCAGCCUAAAAAUGUGGUCUAAAAGACCUCCUGCUUGUAGCGAUUGAGCCUAACGCUGGCGGCUUCCCUUAAUCGCUCGAGUCACGAGAACACAGACUCUUCCAAUUAUUUCGCAAACAUGUGUAGCUGCGCUUCCUAUAUUGCCAGCGGCACGAUCGCCUCCCUCCAGUACUCUAUCAUUCUCCACGCCUUUGGGAUCCACGGAUCCGGCAAGGGCAUAAGCCAGCAACCUCCGAGGCGGUCGGGCGGGCUCUGACUCAAGCAUCUGCCACCGCCAGUCCGCCUCUAGCCUCCCUGCGACCCUGCAGCAGCGACACGCGCGCGUCCAGCACUGGCACCAUGCCACCGCCCAUGCAAAUUCGCCCCUGUCAUUACAUCUUCUCCCAAGUUAUACAACUUCCUCAACCUUAUUCCCUUUUUUUCUUAUUCAUAGGCGAGGGCGGAGCGCCUCCCUGGCCAAUGGGCAGCGACCGUCUGCUGCCCUGUGCCCGUGAUUCUCCUCUAUUGUAAGUAAUUGUUCUCGAAUGUCUGAUCCCCUUUCCCUACCUGUCAUCGUUUCACUGGAUUGUUUUAAAUGUUACUACCUCGUUCUUAAAUAUUUAUAGCUAGUUCAUUUUUGAACUAAAUCGCGAAAAAUAAAAAGACAGAGUAGCGCAUCAUUACAUUUGUAGAGUGGCCUGAGGCGUUAAUUUUACGGAGCUUCGCCACUGGGCGGGCGGGUAACGGGUAUGAAUUCGCGAACUAUAUAUUCGUAUACUACCCGUCCGAUUAUCAUCCCUAAACGCAACGAGACGGCGCGGGCAGCCAACACCCAACAACAGAUUCGAACAAAACGGCACAUCGCCGCCGCCGCCGCCGUCCUUUGUUUUUCUCCCCCCCUAAACACGCUUUGAACCAACGGGGGUGUUCCUUUAAACCUGACAGUGAUUACGAAACCGAGUGGUAACUUUUACUGGAGUAUUAUUACUUAUCUUCCUCCGCUAAAGAAAUUAGAGUAGUGCUAAAACUUCUCAUGCGUGAUACAUACAUACAUACCUGACUGUGAGCCGUGUAUCUUAUAAUAACUGGAUGGUUGAAAAAUCAAGUGUCGACAGCCUUAAAAAACUCAGGUGUGGGGGUAUCUUGGUUUCCAGAAAGGUUUGCCUCGUGAAGAAGUACCAGUGCGUAUAUUAAUUUGCGCAACAAGAAGAUACUAGAACAACAACGCUCGCCAUUAUCAGGCCAACUUGAACAACGAGAGCGGUAGUUCACUUGUUCAAUCAAACCUCUCGAGACUCCACAAAAAAAAAGGAAGAAAGAAAAGCCUUUUGCCCGAAAAGAAACAAAUUUCCGUGAGUAGUAGCUAUAUAUACCUCGCUAAAGAUAUAUAACCCGACUAAACUAAGGAGGCAUGCACGCGGUGGAAGAUCCGUGCCGCCGACGCGUCGACGUCGGCGAUCAUCACAGAAAGAAAACGAGAUUAAUUAAGUGCUUGGAUCACGUACACAAAAGCAAAAGGGCGAUCGAUGAGGUGGUGCUUUCCAUUUAAUUUCCCCCCCUUGCUUCACAGAACAGUUUACGAGGAGAGGAGGGACGUGCCAACAGCACGCUCUAUAUAUAGAGAGCCGGGGACAAAAACGAAUGAAAACGAGCGCCAUGAAACGUCUGGUUGUUAGCGUUAUUAAACUAGUAGUACUGUACAAUAAAGCAUCUGGCGCUAACAGCAAAUCACAGGAAUAAAGAGGGACGACGGAGACUAGCAGCAUGCAUGACUAGCGUCGACCAAUUAAUUAAGCGACGGAGAUGCAUGCAUGCGAGCAAGAAGCUUCCAAAUUCCGACGACGUCCGUGUCCGAGGGACACGUACAAAUCGCAUAUAUUUGGUGCGAAAUAGAAAAUCUGGAUGGACUGGUGAAUAAUAUGCGUGUUCUACAGUUGACGUACGGUGCCUGGUUCGUCCAAUGGACGAUGGAUGGAGACAAGCGACGACGGAGGAAAAAAAAAGCUGGGAAAUUAAGGGCUUGUUCGUUUUCUUUCCAAUCCAUGUGGAUUGGAAAGGAUUGGAUGAGUUUUAAUCCAUAGCAAGUCAAAAUCUCUACUAAUUUUUUCUAAUCCCAUCCAAUCCAUGCGAUAUAGGAAUAACCGAACAAGGCCUAAAGGGGAGGCCACAGGCCAGGACAGGAGGGUCCAAAUCGUUACAGCCGGUGAGUGAGUGAGUGAGUCCCUGUCCAUCCAGGAGGGUUCGCGUACACGCACAAAGAAUAGGUUAGUACACUGUUACACAUAUAUGGUUGCUGAGAAAAGACGCGAGGCAAAUCCAACGGCCAACAACAGAGCCCUGGUCACCGCACGUCCGCACCUGUCGUCCCGAGCCGAAAAUGAUGCUGCGGCGCGAUCGGUAUAACUACGCGCUAGAGUAGUAUAGUCGUCUCAUGGUGAUUUACUUGCCGAUAGGUAUAAUCCAAAAGCUUGGCAGUACUAGAUGCAUGCAUGUAUAUUUUUUGUCUGUAAAAAGAAAGUCAGCCAUUGACUCGCGGAUCGGUUGACCAAGACGGCAGGGCAGCAGCAUGCAGGGCGUGCCGUGCAGGCAACUAUUAGAUCCUGCUGGCGAGAUGAUGCUCGCGGUUAAUGUGCCGGAGUCAUCUCAGUGCAACAAUAGCUAAACUGGGAGAGCCCAACCUAACACCUACUAUGUAAUAUAAUAUUCUAGCAUAAUCUACUAGACAUGCUAUCAUGUGGUAAGGAGGACGAAGUCGCAGCCUUUUCAGCUAAUCAUCAGAAGAACUGGGAAAAAAACAUGGGCCGGUAAAAUCGGAUUGCAUUGCAUUUCCGCUGCUGACAACUCACCAACCAGACCAGCGUCACGUAAGCCUGGAGGAGCACGUGAAGGCAUGCGCGCGAAGCUGCCGACGACUGGGCUCGAUUUGUCGCGGUCGUACGCCGGUGCAGUGCGACUGCGACUGCGAGUGGGCAGUAGAGCAGGAGCGGUACGUGUCCGCCCCGGCCCCCAACCCCAACCCAACCGAUGCAGGAUCUCCGCCCAGUCCAGAGGCCCCCUCGCCUCCGGUCGUCCGGCGCCCAGUCAAAAUCUGCCUUGCUUGCGCGCGUCGCCAAUGGCAAGGCCGAGUCCACAUCCACCCCAAACCAUGACCUCACCAAAGCCCGAACGAAUCCAUCCCCUCCCUCCAAACCCCACGGCACCGUCUAGCUAUUCCAUCGGGGACCCAACCAAUUCAACAUUCCGCGCGCGGGCGCUUGUGUUGUGUGUCGUGUCGGGCAGGGGUCGCAGUCGCAGCAGGCACUAGGCAGGCAGGUUAUAAGACGCGCGCGCGCGCGCGCCGCUCGGAACAGAGGAGGACUGGAUCAGGAGUCGAGAGGGAAGAAGACAGCCCACAAAGCAGCCGGCGCCGCGCGGGGACUCUCCCCGCCCAAUGAGUAGCGCCGCUUCGUCCCCGUGCCACCGGCUCCGCCGCGUCGCGCUGCUGCUGCUCGUUGCCGCGGUCCUCGCCGGUGGAACCGAGGGGAAGGCGCACGACUACGGGGACGCGCUGCGCAAGAGCCUGCUCUACUUCGAGGCGCAGCGCUCGGGCCGCCUCCCGCACAGCCAGCGCGUCGCAUGGCGCCACCACUCCGGCCUCACCGACGGGCUCGAGCAAGGGGUACGUACGUACGUUGCGUCGUCGCCGACGACGGCACCGUUCCGUCCCGGAGUCGAGACUCUCGAGAUGGUGUUCCGUUCCGUGAACGAACGAUCUCAGCUGAUCGAUCGGCCCGUCGUCAAGUCAGCUAACAUGGCUGCCUUUUUCUCUCUCUCUAUGAAUGGUGAUCGCGCGCGCCACAGGUGGACUUGGUGGGAGGAUACUACGACGCCGGGGACCACGUCAAGUUCGGCCUGCCCAUGGCGUUCACCGUCACCAUGCUGUCGUGGAGCCUGAUCGAGUACGGCGGCGACGUCGCGGACGCCGGCGAGCUCGGCCACGCGCUCGAGGCCGUCAAGUGGGGCACCGACUACUUCAUCAAGGCGCACACCAGGCCCGACGAGCUCUGGGCUGAGGUACGGUUAAUUACACGAUCCACCGCGUCGCUCCAUCAUCCAGUCAUCUCGAUCACCUCACCGUGACUUGGCGAAAGCUAGCUCUGUUACACACGCGCAAAAAUUAAAGAAUAUUUCUCUCUGGUGAGUGGUGAAUAGCAACAGCUAGCCCGCCCGGGUUGGUUGGACGUACGAAACAGUCGCAAUAAGUAAUGCAGUUCCACAUGGCUAGGCUAGCUGCUCUCGGUCGAUGCCAAAGCAAGUGUGUUGACAGUUUCGUGCGCGCAGGUGGGCGACGGCGACACGGACCACUACUGCUGGCAGCGGCCGGAGGACAUGACGACGUCGCGGCAGGCGUACAAGGUCGACCGGGACCACCCGGGCUCCGACGUCGCCGGCGAGACCGCGGCGGCCAUGGCGGCCGCGUCCAUCGUCUUCCGCGGCUCCAACCCGCACUACGCGCACCUCCUCCUGCACCACGCCCAGCAGGUAAUAAAUACAGCGAUGUGAUGGUCCGUGUUUUUGUUGUUGUUGUUGCUAUGGUUCGUGAAAAUCACUCGAAAAAAAAUGCGGUGGACUUGCGGUAAUACCGGUACGUACGCGUCCGCCACGCCUACCGAACUUUGGACCGUCACGACCGCCUGCAGCUGCAGGCAGGCUGCUAGCUGCUCUAGUCAAGAUGUGCCGGACAUGGACAGCUUCUUCUUGGCAGGGGCGUUUGGAAGGUGUGUUCUUUCUUCGUUGUGCUGUGUGUGCCAGUCCUCUCGUCCGCGGGCACAUGCCAAGCUGUGAGCACGACCUUUUUCAGAUGAGAGGUUUCUGUCGGUUCGUAGGGGAUGCCAUGUGUGUGGAGCCGGCCGGCGCGCGACCUAACGCGAAAAAAGAACGGAGAAAAGUGGGGAGCUACCAUCUGGUGGCGCGGUCUCCAUGAUUAUGUCGACAGUUCAACCGCAUGAACUGCUUAGAAACAAAGAAAUGUAAACGUCAUCAUGUGCUUUGCUAAUUCAGCCAGUCCUUUUUUUGUUUUCGUUUAUUUUAUUUUAAAACAGUCUUUUUUUUGUUUUCGUUUAUUUUCGUGUUAGGACCUGCACGGUUUCACCUAUAUCUUUUUUUUUCUCUCUCUCUUUGUAUCUCUGCAGCUGUUCGAGUUCGCCGACAAGUACAGGGGGACAUACGACAGCAGCAUCGCGGAGGUGAAGAGCUACUACGCGUCGGUGAGCGGGUACAAGGACGAGCUACUGUGGGCCGCCCUGUGGCUCCACCGCGCCACCGGCAGAGAUGACUACCUCGACUACGUCGUCGACAACGCCGACAGCUUCGGCGGCACCGGCUGGGCCAUCAACGAGUUCAGCUGGGACGUCAAGUACGCCGGCGUCCAGAUCCUAGCGGCAAGGGUGAGUGUCGGUGCACGUAACAAUGCCAGCUGCCAGCAGCGCGUAAAGAGUCGCGGCCUCGCGGGACUGAUCGACGCGUGCAUCCGUACUGCUUGUUUCAGCUGCUGCUGAGAGGGGAGCACGCGCCGCGCCACCGGAGCACGCUGGAGCGGUACAGGGCCAAGGCGGAGCGGUACGUGUGCGCGUGCCUGGGCCGGAACACGGAGGGCGGCGCGGACGCCAACGUGGAGCGCAGCCCCGGCGGGAUGCUCUACGUCCGGCAGUGGAACAACAUGCAGUACGUGACCGGCGCCGCGCUCCUUCUCUCCGCCUACUCCGACUACCUGGCGGCCGCCGAGGCCGGCGGCGCCGCCCGGGCCGUGUCGUGCGCGGCGGCGGCCGAGGAGGUGUUCGCGCUCGCCAGGGCGCAGGCGGACUACGUGCUGGGCACCAACCCCCGGGGCGCCAGCUACCUCGUCGGCUACGGCUCCAGGUACCCCGGCCGGGUGCACCACCGCGCCGCGUCCAUCGUGCCGUACAAGCACAGCAGGGAGUUCAUCGGCUGCACGCAGGGGUUCGACCACUGGUUCGGCCGGCGGGGCUCCAACCCCAAUUUGCUCGUCGGCGCGAUCGUCGGCGGGCCGGACAGGCGCGACAGGUUCAGGGACAGCCGCGACAACUACAUGCAGACGGAGGCCUGCACGUACAAUACGGCCCCGAUGGUCGGCGUAUUCGCUAAGCUGCGCCGGAUGGCGUGGCUGGAGCGGGAACAGGGGUCCACGUCGGUGCCCGUCACCGUCACGUCCACGGCGGCCGAGGUGUAAAUAGAUAGGAUGUAGAGGAAGGGGGCUGUACAAUUUUCCCCAUUCUUUAGUUCAUUUUUUUCGAGCUUUGAAUUUCAUUUUACACAGAUCGAGGUUAUUGUAUACGAGAAAGAAAAAAAAGAGAAAAGGGUGGAGGCGCCUACAUGCAUGUGCAAUUCUGCAAAAUGUAAAUUCACUACUGGUACAUAUGGAGAAAUUUGACAUUAUGAAACACGGAGGGUUCGGCUUCGACGAAAUGGAGGUCUAGGAGAGAGUUUCUUCCUUAUGAAACAGCUGGACAUAGCCAACACUUUAAAAUGGACAUGACUAAACCAUUAACAGGUAACGACGAUCUUAUACUCACGCCGUCAUUUUGCCGUUACCAGGAGACUAUACGUGAGCCCUUCUUCUCUCUCUAGCUGCCGUUCACGCCCAACCAAAACAAGUUCUCAACCAAACCCUAUCCGCCGCCGCACCCUAGCCGCCGCACCUUGCCGCCGCACACUAGCCGCCGCACUCAAAACACCAUGGAUCGAACUGCUCCCGUCGUCGCUGUUGCAGAGGCUGUUGAUGCUGCUCGUGCCGCGGCUGUUGCUGCGGCGGAGGCAAGAUGCGCGGCUGUGGUGGCUGAGAAGGAGGCUCGAGCGGCGGUGCAAUCUGCGACAAUUGCCGCCGAUAAGGUUGGACUAGUUGUCGAAGCUGUCAAGUAUCGAAGCUUUGUUGAAGAUAACUCCAUGGUGACUGAUUUUCUUUCUCCCUUCCUUUGCCGCAUGUGGAAUAAGGUCUGUUCUUCACAAGUAUUUGAACUAGUUUUAUUUGUACAGGAACAUGUUGAUUUUAAGUAUCACGUUAGCGUGAAGAACUCACUACGAUAUGCCAUUCAAGAGAUGAGGAGGCAAUCUUCACUGUUACGUACCAUUAAUGGGCUGUGUUGUAGUAUCCCAGAAGUUGAAGGGGGUAAGGUUGGAAAGCUAGCUGGCCAUUUGAAGGAUGUCUGCAAGAGCCUCGAGAAGACUUCAAGUGUGUGUGAAGAAGAUCUAGAGAAUAAAUGUCCUGGUUGGGACCUUCAUCAUCCCCCUUCAGAUGUUGAAGACAACACCCACCCUUCUCAUGUUGAGGACCCAAUGGAUGGAUACGUGUCAGAAGAUCCGGAGUUGUGGCAAAUGGUGUUUGAUGACUUGCAGUGGGAGGAGAAUAAAGUGGCUGUCUCUUUGGCCGAGCAUUGUCGUAUUAUGGGCUACGACUAUGACCAGAUGUUUGAUCGUACUAUUUGAGUUGUCAAGACUAUUAGUAUGCAGACUUUUGUGAUGUCAAGACAUUCUGUUCGUGUCAAGACAUAAUGUUAUGAACUUUUAAUCUGUGAGGUGGUUGUGUUUAUGUAAGACUCUCUAUGUGGUUGUAACAGAAUUUGUGCUCAUGUUCUGUGAUGUCAAGACAUUAUGUUCACAUUCUGUUUCUAUCUAUGCCCAGAUUCCCAGUUGUAUUUGGUUCACAUUAUUUUCAGCAGUACAUUCUGUUUCUAUCUAUGCCCAGAUUUUCAGCAGUACAUUCUGUUUAUAUGCCCAGUUAGUGUGGCGGAACUGCCCGAGUUAUUCCGACUUAAGUGCCUAAGUCCCGCCUUAGAGGCAAGACCACACUUAAAUGGGAAUAACCCGUCAAUCCCUCGGAUCUAGUCCGACGAGGCCACUGACAGGAUCAAGUACCACAAUCUCACUCGAUGGUGAGUCACAGAGCAAAUACAAUAAAGCAUAAAACCAUACAUUAAGGAGUAUUAAAUUAUUACAUCACCAUCAGAGUUUUGCACAAGUAGUCAUCAUUGUUCGAAGUGCAGCGGAAUAAACUAAUGAUAGAUAAAUGGAGGGAUGGGGAAGCUUGUCCCAUCACUCCUCAUGCUCCUACUCAGCCGAGGCGGGGUCCCACUCGACAGUCCAACCCGGUGGCAAGAUGGACGGUCAAGUCACUCCAGCAACCAUGUCCUCCAAAGAACCUGUAAAAUUAUGCCACAAGCAAGGCUGAGUAUACUAAUACUCAGCUAGACUUACCCGGUGUGAGGAGUCUACUCCUCUACCUCUAGACAUGCAUCUGUUUGGCUGUGGGGUUUGGUUGCCAAAAGCACUAGCUGAGUUUCUGAAUCAAGUUUUAACUUUGUCAAAUUUAAGUGUGACUCUCUUAAUGCUAAAUAUGUACUAACUACUCAUACAUAGUAGCAAACAUUUUUAGCAAUCAACAUCUUGUAUCAACUCAUCAUAUUUCCACUUGUUACUCAAUGUAGCAGCAUGGAUCAAGCAGUCUCAUUAGCUGCGAGAAGCAGACGAUUCGAAUCGAGUUUUUAUCCUUGCAAGGUAAACCUAAACACACGACGUGUAGGGGCACUCCAUCCCCACACACAUCAACCGUCCCCAUCGAUUCCCUGGCAACAGAUCAGGGCUCACCGCCUUGGCGUACAAUGCCUCACUGACCCCGACUGCCGUCGUGCAGUGACCGCACUUGUACCCACCAUAACCGGAAUGGGAGACCACGUCUCAGGUCGCGUGAGGGGUAAAGUCUGCGGGUAGGUUCACUCAGGUACUAGGCUUACCGAUUUACUAUAUUUCUCGGUAUGUGUUUAGUACGUUCAAACGCUUGACUCACGGUACCACACCUUAAUCCUUAUUCAAAUUUUUAUCCCGUGGACAACCAAUCCCCAUGGAUUGUUGUCCACAACCAGCAUCAUUAUGAGAAGAAAGUGGAUACAACCAAUUUCCUGACCUCGCGCGAGUGCUAGAAAAAUCACUCGACUUCUACCGAGAUCCUAAUUAAUAAAGCAGCUACCUCGACCUAGCAUACUAGUAUUCAUCUCAAAAAGGAUUCCUGAGAUCAUGCAACUAGGGUUUCAAACAACUCCUACACCUAAGUGCACAAUCAAUUCUACAAUCAUUAAGUGUAGUAAAAUAGCAUAAAUAACAGGUUAUGCAUAAACCGGGGCUUGCCUUCCAAAGCAGUGGCAGGCAGAUCCUCUAGUGCAGGCUCUGGUGCUGGAUCCGGGGCUACCUCCUGAGCAGCUCCUUGCUCCGGCACGAGGACGUACUCUCCGUCAGCGAUGUUACAGUCUAUCGAAAUGCAAUGAAUAUGUAUGUCAUGAUUAUGCAGGAUUUAAUAACAUUAUGCUAAAGGAAGAAAAACUAAGUUAGUUGGCAACUUAGGGUUCAUUGGUCAUACGUGGCUUUUAGUGGUUUAUGCUUAUCACUCUAGGUUUAGGUUUUGUUAAGGAUAAGCAUAGUGGAUUGGUAUUUCCUUUAUAUAUUUCAGUGGACAAUUUACAAAGGGUUUUAGGAUGACACUAAUUUCCAUUAUUCAUUUUCUCUUUCUUUAUUUUCUAUUUAUGAAUUCUAGUGUAGGUUUGAACUACAACAGUGAAAUAACUUUUUCCAAAAAUUCUGUAAAAAUUACAGUGGCUUGCCAUUGGUCAAUAUAGCCUGUUCUAGGAAUUUGAGGUUCAAAAAUAAAAAGGCUAUGCUUUAGACAAAAAUAACAAAAGUUGUGUAAAUGGGUCACUUUGUACUACAACUCUUAACUAGGGGUGGGUUCUGUCCUAAGGGUUAUUUUUGUUGGCAUCUAAAAGUAAUAAUACGCUUCUGUGCCAAAAAUCAGAGAAAGCUAAGGGAUGGUUAUUUAGUUGUGAUUUUCCAAAGUUUAAUGCCAAAAAGGCACUUUCUACUGCCUUGCUAUUUGAAAAAUGUCAAACAACAGAUUUCAUAUUUUUCCUAAGUUCUUAAUAAUAAAACAUUAAUUAUCCCAAGGUUUGGGGUGUUUUCACCUUAAGGUUAUUUUUCUAGGGUUUUUCUAAGUUUUUCUAAGUUUUCCUUGUUUUCUUAAAAUAAAAGGUAUCCCAAUUAUUUUGUACUAAACCAGAGUAUAAUAGAUUUUUCUAGUGAACUAUAGACUAACCAAAAUAGGGGUGCCCCUGGUUCCUUAAUUAAAUCACCUUUCUUAUUUUCUUUAACUUUAAGCACAAUGUGAAAUAAAUGGCAAACUCUACCUUAAUGGGGUGUACAGAGGGGUUUAUCAUUUUUAAAUAGAUCAGUAGGUGGUCAUGCACUUCUCCAAAUUUUCUUAACCUCAGUUAAAUAGUGCAACUAUUUUUCUUCCUAUUAUUUAGCUUUUGGCCAAAACAAUAAUUAAAUCAGAACCCUAAAGUUUUCUGUAGCAUAUAGGGGUUUUAUAUUUUUCUUAAGUAGUUUAUAUUAUUUAAGAUCUGACAAAAUUGGUUUGACUCAAUUUGGAUGAAUAAAACAGAAGAUAUGAAUUAUUCAAGUUCUGUUUAAAUUUUAAAUCAGAUUUAAUAAAAGGUUUCCUGGAAAACCACUUUGCACCGGGGUCCUUGGGUUAUUUCCAAACUAACUCUCUCAGUUAUACCCCCGCGCUACUAUUUCUCUGAGUCACUGACAUUGCGCAAAACCCUCUAGCUUUCUCUUCUUCUCCCCCGCGGUCCCUCCCUAGGUUUAAACAGUACCCGCGAGAAAGAAAAGGGCGGCGCGGCUUACCGGCGGUGAGAGAAGUCCGGCGAGGGGCGGGGUUGGCUCUGGGAGGUCCUGGCGGUCACAACAGUGUAAGGCUCGACGGCGGGGGUGGCCGGAAUCGUCCGGUCCACGUGCGCAGGCGGGUGCUCUCGUCAGCGGCGGGUGUUCCGGCCAAACCACGGCGACCUAGUUCAAUCCAAUGGCACAGUGAGCCUCACGGGGUGACGUAGAGGCUGUGUGCACAAGGAAUCGAGGAAUCGAGCAGAGGAUUACCCGGUCUACGCUCGCCGGCGGUCGGGUGGAGUCCGGUGACCGUGGACUGGCCUCUCCGGCGAAGCAAACUCCGAUUCCUCGCUCGGGGAGCUUCACCGAGGUGUGCUCAGUAUUCUCCAAGGGUCGGACGGGGUUGGGAAGGGUUCUGUUGGCCGGUCUACGGUGGCAGGGGGAUCGGGCGGCCGCGGACACGCCGUGCACGGGCAAACGCCGGCGGGUUUGGGCUCCGGUGAGGUCGAGCGCGUGCGGAGGGGUACGGUCGAAGUCCCUGGGGGCUUUAUAGGCGCGGGCGCGGGCCAUGGCGCCGGCUUGGCUUUGGCGCGACGCGGGGCACGCGGGGGCGCGCGCGGGCGUGCUCUGGCGAGCUCAGAGCGCGUCGAACACGUGGCUCUUUGCUUCUGUCCGUGUUCUUCCCUCUGCUGAGCGGCCAAAACGUACGAAUCUUGCCCUAGAGCCUGUGAGAGACUUCUUCCCUACACCUAGAGCUACCUAGUUCAUGUGAGUUCCAAGGGUAGAUGUGGUCGGGUUAGAGAGAUAUGGGGGUGGGAAGUCGGCUAUGUCAGAGAUGUCCAAACCGAGACAAAAAUGGUGCCAAGUCGUGUCAAACGUCUUAGGGUAGGUGUCAACUUUUUCCAGGGCAUUCUAGGGUUAAUUUGGCGCCACUUUGUCAAUUGGGUCGAAGUGUUUUGAAGUUUGAAUGAGGGUGCACAUGUGUGAUCUUUGGCCAAAGGUUAGUUUUGGACUUAGGCAAUUUCUGAAUUUUCUUUUGUGCUCAAACCUUUGGUGAACCUUUUGGGGCUUUUCUGAAAUCUUUUUGGGGUUACUUUCUUACUAUUAUUUGUAGGUUAUUAAGUGUACUACAACUUUCACUACAGGAAACGCCUAAAUUUUCGUGGGCCUAGAUAUUUUCGUCGGUCGGCCCACGAAAAUAAAUAGUUAUUUUCGUCGGCCUACGGAACCGACGAAAAUACACCUUAUUUUCGUGGGCCCGUACCUAUUUUCGUCGGCCUGCCCACGAAAAUAGGAACGACAUUUUCGUGGGCCUCGAGACCGACGAAAAUGAGGUUUAUUUUCGUCGGUCCACGCCAGGCCGACGAACAUAAGUCAUGUAUUUUCGUCGGUCUUCUCCCGGCCGACGAAAAUACGACAUUAACUGACCACUAUUUUCGUCGGCCUCAGUGAGGCCGACGAAAAUAGUGGUCCGUUAAUCGGCCACAGCGCGCAGUUUCUCUCUCUCGCUCGGCAGUCACUCUUCGCGCCGCCGCCCGCCCGACCUCCGUCGCCGCGCCGCCGUCGUAGCCCGCCCCGCGUCCUCGCCUCGCGCCCUCGCCGAGCCGCAACGCCGCCCAUCCUCACGCGCCCUCACCCGCUGCGCGCCCGCCGUCGCCGCUGCGCGCCCGCCGUCGCCGCCGCGCGCCCGCCGCUACGCGCCCGCCUCGCGCCCGCCGAGCCGCUGCGUCGCCGGCUCGCGCCCGCCGAGCCGCAGCGCGCCCGCCUCGCGCCCGCCGCGCCGCCGCUCGCCCGCCGCGCCGCCCUCGCCUCGCGCCCUCGCCUCUCGAAGGGGCACCCACUGCGCGGCAGCCUCGCCCCCACCACCGCCCUCGGCCCGAGAGCCUCGGGCACCGGCUCUCUCCACCGCACCGAGCUCCGCCUCGCCUCCUAGUCCGACAGGUAAAAUUUUAAAUUUUUUUAGUUACUUAGCACAUGGUAAAGUGAGUAUAUAGUUAGUGAGUAUAUAGUUAGCAUAUACUUGUAGGAAAGUUAGUGAGUAUAUAGUUAGCAUAUACUUGUAGCAUAUUGUUUAGCAUAUACUGGUAGGAAAGUUAGUGAGUAUAUAGUUAGCAUAUACUUGUAGCAUAUUGUUUAGCAUAUACUGGUCAGCAUAUUGUUUAUUAUGUAGCUAUCGUGUAGUUUUCUGUGUUGGCAACCAUCGUGUUGUCGUUUAUUUGCAGGUUUUAGAAACAUCAGUUUAUAGGGGAGGUGCUGCCGAAUUUUUUACUGACAAUAAUAUUUUUUGUACAUAGGUGUUCUUCCGACUUGACCUUCUCCACCGUUAGCUAGACUCGUACAUUAUUCUCAGGUAUACAUUGUUUUCGUAAUUUCUCAGGUAUACAUUAUUCUCAGUUUUAAUCGUUAACCGUAGUGAACCGUAUGCGUCACCCGUUCGGGAACGGCGAACGUCACAUUGGCUUGUGAGGUUCGCCGUUCCGGAAUUGUCCACGUAUUUUGGACAGCCUGAGAGUGUAAGCCGAUGCUUGUGAUUUGUGACAUGUGCCUUACGAUUGACGCGGAAUUUCGGUUGUGUAACCCAGUUGUUCUCCAACACACCAUGUUCAGGUGUGUGCUUGGAGAGCAGCGGGGUUAUGCUGCCGAAAUUUAGCGACAAUCAUAGGCUACACGUCAUAAAUCACAAGCAUCAGCCUACACUCUUGGGUGGGUUUAGGGCCUUUACCUAAUAGGGAGUUCACCUAAUUAAGCCACGGACGAUCGUUGAUGUUCUUUGACUUUUGUUUAGCCUUUAAAAUGGACGGUGAUCGGAGGGUGAUGUAUGACGGGUGGAGAAAGGAUGGGGCACAUUCGAAUGAAUGGAUGGGUGUAACAAAGGCUUUUCUUGAGCACGCUUUCAAAGAUGCAAGUGGUCGUCUAGUGAAGUGUCCUUGCAAUCGCUGCGAGAACAAGUGGCCUCAGAAGAAGGAAGAAAUGGAGAAACACCUUUGCAAAAGUGGGUUUAUGCCGAACUACCUUGUAUGGUACCGGCAUGGAGAGUCUAUUAGACACGUUGACGCGGAGGUGGAGCUUGAUGACGAUCAUGAUAGGAUGGACGAUAUGUUGCAUGAUCUUGGUAGGGAGGUUGAAAUGAACGCUGAGGAGCCGGGGCAGCUUCCACGCGAUGCUCAAGAAUUCUUCCGGCUACUCGCCGCGGGAGAAGAGAGACUGCACGAGCACACUCAGAUGUCAGUUCUUGGGACUCUCACAAGACUAAUGGCGAUAAAGUCGAAGCACAACAUUUCAAACAGUGCUUACAACGACAUCGUCCAACUUAUGGGCGAGGUUCUCCCGGAGAAUCAUAAGUUGCCAAAGAAUAUGUACUUCGCAAAGAAGAUGUUGGCUGGUCUUGGGAUGACAUAUGAGAAUAUCGACGUGUGUCCCAACAGUUGCAUGCCAUUCUUUGAGGAGGAUGACAAGCUGGACCGUUGUAAGCAUUGUGAAGCUUCUAGAUAUGUCGAGGUGACAAAUGAUGAGGGUGAAUUGGUAGUUACGAAGGUCGCAGCUAAGCAACUUCGUCGGUUGCCCAUCAUUCCUCGGCUUUCAAGGCUGUUCCUCAACAAGGAAAUAGCUCUGCAUAUGACGUGGCCAAAGAAUGGUGUACGUCUCGUCACUGAUCCAGACAUAAUGGUCCAUCCGUCGGACGGUGAUGCGUGGAAGGCAUUUGACGAGUUUGAUCCCGAAUUUGCAAACGACCCUAGGAGUGUACGGCUUGGUCUAUCGACGGACGGAUUCACACCUUUCAAUACCAGUGCAAGCCCUUACUCGUGUUGGCCUGUCUUCAUUGUGCCAUAUAAUCUUCCUCCUAAGUUGGUCAAUAAAGAAGAGUUCAUGUUCCUUGCACUAGUCAUCCCAGGCCCCGAGCAUCCAGGGCCAAAGCUGAAUACGUUUGUUCGCCCUUUAAUCGAAGAGCUGAAACAAUUGUGGAGAGGUGUGAAGGCUUAUGACAGCCAUACUGAAAAGGAGUUUACCAUGCGCGCUGCUUAUUUGUGGUCAGUGCAUGAUCUGCUGGCAUAUGGAGAUUGGUCUGGAUGGUGUGUCCAUGGUCGGUUGUGCUGUCCCAUAUGUAUGAAUGAUACGGAUGCAUUCAGAUUGAAGCAUGGUGGGAAAGUGUCAUUCUUUGAUGCUCAUCGACGUUGGACUCCAUUCAAGCAUGAUUUUAGGAAUUCGCUUACUGCAUUCAGAGGUGGAGCCAAAAUCAGAAAUGGGCCACCAAAGAGGCAAACUGCACCGCAGAUAAUGGCAUGGCAUGCUUGUCUGAAGCAAGGAGAAAAUGAUAGGUUCCAAGGCUACGGGGAGGACCAUAACUGGACCCAUAUUUCAUCAAUAUGGGAGCUUCCGUAUGCAAAAGCCUUGAUCAUGCCGCACAACAUAGACUUGAUGCACCAAGAGCGUAACGUUGCUGAAAGCAUCAUAAGCACAUGUUUCGAUGUGACUGAUAAAACGAAAGAUAAUAUGAAGGCAAGAAAAGACAUGGCUGAAAUUUGUAAGAGGCCGAUGCUCGAGUUGAAAGUAAGCGAUAAAGGGCAUGAAAGUAGGCCGCGAGCUGAUUACUGCCUCAAGCCGGAUGAAAGGAAAGAAAUAUUUAAGUGGUUGAAGAAUCUGAAAUUUCCAGAUCGGUAUGCGGCAAAUCUGAAACGGGCAGUCAAUCUGAAGACCGGUAAAUUGAUCGGUUUGAAAAGCCAUGACUACCAUAUUAUUAUGGAGAGGCUGAUGCCCGUGAUGUUUCGAGGCUAUUUUAAGGAUGAGCUUUGGAGCAUAUUUGCAGAGUUGAGUUACUUCUAUAGGGAAGUAUGCGCAAAGACGGUAUCGAAGAGGUUGAUGCAGAAAUUUGAGAAAGAAAUUCCAAUUCUUAUUUGUAAAUUUGAAAAGGUUUUCCCGCCAGGAUUCUUCAAUGUGAUGCAACAUCUAAUUGUGAUUCAAGCGACUUAAUUGAAGAACCUAGGUCAAAGCGCAAACGACCUGUCGUCGUUAGAAGAUCAGUAAGGAUCCAACGAAAUCAAGAGCGUAUGAAUAAACAACGAGCCGAAGAAGCAUCAUCGGAUGCGAAUGACUUUUGAUUAGUAUGUUUCUUUUAGUUAAUCAAUUAAGCUAUGUAUUCCAAUUUCCACAUUAUUAAUUUUCAUAUUAUUUGUUUCAUAUACUGUGGUUUGACAUUAAUUUAUCUACAGUUGAACAUGUUCAAGCAUAGGAGAUCGAGGAGGAGUGAGGGCAGCGCGGCCAGCGAGGACAGCUCGGGCAGUGGGCUUUUUCAGGGCACCUCACAGAGCCGACAGAGGCAGCAACAACUUCUCGACUGUCUAGACGAAGUGCAGGGCGAGGAGGGUGAGCAGGAGACUCCUCAGCAGGAUGCUCAUGUGCAGGGUGAGGAGGGUGAGCAGGAUGACGAGGGUGAGCAGGAUGAGGAGGUUGACCCAAUGGGGGCAGGCAUCGCGGGCGACGCGUCAGAUGGUUCUACGUCCUUCAGGUAUUAUUAUGCAUAUUACUUUAAUUGAUAUUAGUUUCUAAUCAUUUCAUCAUAUUGAAUUUACUUGUAUACUUAGGUAUAAGAAGAGCAAUGCGCUUGGUCCGAGACCUGCCGAGAGGAGGCUCAUCCGGCCGCAUGGAGAAUGGUGGGGCUUAUUUCUGUUUUGUUAAUUUUUUAAUGUGAACGUGAUUGCACUAGUUUACUUGUUUUAUUAAUUUUUGUAGGUCAUGGGAAGACUUGACUUGGGACGGUACAGGCAGACGUCCCAAGGUGAACGCGGUGUUGGGUAGCCUCUGUCGCUUCUACUACCCUGGCAUGGUGGAGCUCAAUGGCGAGAGGUUCGCGGCUAUGCAGUGGGCUGACUGGGGUCUAAAGGACUAUGUCGAGCCAGGGGAGUCAGGGGAAAGCAGUAGCGGAGGGGGAAGUUCGGAAAAAAAACGAAGGACUUGUCAGGUGGCUGUGUGGGACGAGUUCUGGGUGAGUUUACUUUCGUAUAUAAGCAAUUCAUUGAAUUAUUGCUUCACCUAAUCUUACUUUAACUUAACUUCUCCAUUGAUAUGUAGGGGAGGUUCCAAUUGCCGGAUGACAUCGAGAAGGAUCAGGCUCAGUGGACACGUGUGAAGAGGCACUUUCGGGAGUGCGCUGAUAAGAUAAUCAAGGAUGCCAUGUACAAUGCUCGCAUCGCGGCCGUCAACUACUACUACAAGAAGAUAAAGGGUCAGAAAAUGAGCAAAGCAUUAGGGGCCAAUGAGAUCUACCUCACAGAGGAGCAGUACCUAGAGAGCGUUGUGGAUUGGCUGUCCAAGGACAUGGAAGCCUGGAGGUGGUUGGCUAAGAGAUGGGCGUCGCCUGAGUGGAUUGCAGAGUCCAACAAGCACCGUGCCAACCGUGGCACUGAAGGACCGGGGCACAGGUACGGCGCCGAUGGACACCUUGGUACCGCACGCCGCAUGGUAAGUAUAUAAAUCAAACUUGUAUGUUACAUCUAUGAAAAUUAUAUGGUUUAACUCUUCUUUUUCAUGCAGGAAGCUGAAAGUGGAGUUGCUCCAAGUUUUAUGGAGGUUUACGUCCGUGGUCACCGUGGCCCUGAUCCGGCGAACCCUGAUGUGCUAUGCAGCGAGGCGGCAAGGGAGAAAAUGGUAAACAAGUUUGUAUUUACGAAUUAAAUUGCAUGUUUUGUGUCUAACUCCAACUUUCUUUGCAGAAUGCAUAUGGGGAGGAAAUGACUCAACGCCAUGGGCCUGACUUCGACUGGAUGCAUUCAGACUUAGAUGCCUCGGCGUUGUACCAUAGUGGUGGGGGUAGAAAGCAUGGCAGGUGAGGUGUUUGUGUUUGAUUCGACGAUUUCAUUAACAAGAAUGUGUCCACUUAAUUGCUCAACUAUGUGUAUCAUGCAGGUUUGCCUUUGGCACCGGCGUUGUGGAGUACAACAGGACUAUAGGUCAAGGGAAGGCAUCGUCUUCGGGAGGGAGUUCUCGCUCCUCCAGGUCUGCUCGAGAGGCUCAGCUGGAGGAGGAGACUCGGGCAGCACAGGAGCAGGCUCGAGCAGCACAGGAGCAGGCUCGAGCAGCGCAGGAGCAGGUUGGGCAGCUGACGCAAUAUAUGGCUUCUUAUUUUCAGGUAAUUCGUCUAUCUCAUCACGUGUCGUCUUUGAAUUCAAAGUAUAAUGUUGCGAUUCUAACGUUGCAUCCAUUUGCAGGAAAUGACUACUCGACUCGGCCCUGAUAUGAACUUGCCCGCUUUUCGCCCUCCCCAGGUAACACUAUCUGAACACUUCAAUUCCAUAGCAACUCUUUCUUUAUUAUCAAAAAUGGCUCGCAGGCACAAGGAUGGGGACAGUGGCCAGGACAAGCUCCAGCGUCGCAGCCACAGUGGACCGGUGUUGGGUGGACGCAGGCACCUCCAGGCACUUGGACGCCUCCACCCCAAGGAUCGCAGCCAGUCCCGGGAUGGGUGCCACCGGUCUCCCAGCCACCGGCGGGCUCUCAGCCAUUUCAAGCGUGGAUGGCACCGCCACCGACGGGGUGGGUGCCACCACCUAUGGGGUGGCCAGCACAACAGUACCUGUGGAUGCAUGCACAACCUCCUCCUCACCAUGGAUCACAGGUGACAUUCCAUGUUUAGUUUUAUGCAAAUAUUGACCAAACACAACAAUGUAUAUGUAUACAACCUUAUUUGAAUGAUUGAUGAAUUGCAGGGUUCAGCGUCACAUGCUCAUGGAUCGGAGGGUGGUGUCAACGUCCAAGACUUCCUCGUCCAUGGUGCUGGAGGGAGUGGCCACCUUCCUGGUGGCGGAGGAGGGAGUGGCCAAAACUCCCACAGCCCGCCGGAGUGAUCAGUGAGGAGUGAGUUGUGAGUAGUUAGUAGCUUAUGGACUUAUGGACUCUAGACUUAUGGACUAGAGUUUUGUGAAUUGUGUAUUUGAAUGGACAAUGGACUUUUGGACUUAUGGAUACUCUAGACUUAUUAUGUAUAUGUGAAUGUGUUUUGUGAAUUAUGUAUUAGGCUUGUGAAUCUGUAUAUGUGAAUUGUGAUAUUGUGUAUAUUGCUGUGAAUUAUUAAUAGGUGCAGAAAAAUCUGUUUUGGGGGGGGGGGGGAACCAACAAUUUUCGUCGGCCUCGGUGGUGGCCGACGAAAAUAUGUUCCCAGGCUAUUUUCGUCGGCCACCACCGGGGCCGACGAAAAUAUGUUCCCAGGCUAUUUUCGUCGGCCACCACUGAGGCCGACGAAAAUAUCCUGGCGUAUUUUUGUCGGCCACAACCGGCCGACGAAAAUAAAUGGUCGACGCACUAUUUUCGUCGGUUUUAGCAAGGCCGACGAAAAUAGUUUAGUUUCGUCGGUACCGACGAAAAUACCCGCCUAUUUUCGUCGAACUUAUUUUCGGCGGCUAUUUUCGUCGGCCUGCCGACGAAAAUUAUCUAUUUUCGUCGGUUUAGGCUUAUUUUCGUGGGUUUUUGGCCCACGAAAAUUUAGGCGUUUCCUGUAGUGUUUUAUAUUUGGCCCAAGCCAUGAUCAUAAGGUUUUCAUGACCUUUUGGUCAUACUUACAUCUAGGGUUCCCAUUGUCCAAAGGGGUUUGCUUUAGGGUUUUGGGAAAUUAUCCCCUUUAGAUGUGCAUGAUAAGUUAGGGUAUGAUAUCCAAGAUGGGUUGCACUUGCUUAGGACCUUGAAUUCUAAGUUUGAUGUACUUUGCUCAAACUAACCCACAUGUGAUAGUAGGUUUAAAUGGUGUAGCCCUGGGUGGACACCCUGAGUAACACCUGGGGUGUUACAGCCCUCCCCCCUUAAAGGAAUCUCGUCCCGAGAUUUAGGUAGAGUCCCUUGGAGGGGUGCGUGAAGGUGUGUUGGUGCGCUACCCUUUCUUUUACCCAAGUUUCUCUUGUCAACUGCUCUUCGAAUGUCAUUCUCUUUGCAACUUCAGAAGGAAGUCCUUUUUAAGUUAAAACCACAACUUAGACUACCCUUGUUAUCUAAGUUUUUCUUAUAAUUGUAUUCAAAGGGCAGGUGGGGGUGGGGUUUUGGGUUACGUACCGACUCCUUUGGGCAGAAAGUCGGGGAAGCGAGAGCGUAGAAAAUCCUCAGUCUCCUAUGUAGCUUCUUCUACUGAAUGGUGACUCCACUGAACCUUAUACAUUCUGAUUGACCUUGCCCGCGUUGACCUCUCUUUCUGAUCCAAUACCCUGACGGGGUACUCUUGAUAGGACAAGUCUGGUUCUAUCUCAAUGUCUGGCUCAGGUAGCACUUCAGUGGGUAGGCGGACACAUUUCCGCAGCUGAGAUACAUGGAACACAUCAUGAACAGCUGACAUGCUGGGUGGCAACUUCAAUUGAUAGGCUACAGGUCCACAAGCCUCCUUGAUCUCGUAACUAGGGGUGGGUUCUGUCCUAAGGGUUAUUUUUGUUGGCAUCUAACAGUAAUAAUAAGCUUCUGUGCCAAAAAUCACAGAAAGCUAAAUGAUGGUUAUUUAGUUGUGAUUUUCCAAAGUUUAAUGCCAAAAGGCACUUUCUACUGCCUUGCUAUUUGAAAAAUGUCAAACAGCAGAUUUCAUAUUUUUCCUAAGUUCUUAAUAAUAAAACAUUAAUUAUCCCAAGGUUUGAUGUGUUUUCACUUUGGGGUUAUUUUUCUAGGGUUUUUCUAAGUUUUCCUUGUUUUCUUAAAAUAAAAGGUAUCCCAAUUAUUUUGUACUAAACCAGAGUAUAAUAGAUUUUUCUAGUGAACUAUAUUGAAUAUGUAGACUAACAAAAAUAGGGGUGCCCCCUGGUUCCUUAAUUAAAUCACCUUUCUUAUUUUCUUUAACUUUAAGCACAAUGUGAAAUAAAUGGAAAACUCUACCUUAAUGGGGUGUACAGAGAGGUUUAUCAUUUUUAAAUAGAUCAGUAGGUGGUCAUGCACUUCUCCAAAUUUUCUUAACCUCAGUUAAAUAGUGCAACUAUUUUUCUUCCUAUUAUUUAGCUUUUGGCCAAAACAAUAAUUAAAUCAGAACCCUAAAGUUUUCUGUAGAAUAUAGGGUUUUUAUAUUUUUCUUAAGUAGUUUAUAUUAUUUAAGAUCUGACAAAAUUGGUUUGACUCAAUUUGGAUGAAUAAAACAGAAGAUAUGAAUUAUUCAAGUUCUGUUUAAAUUUUAAAUCAGAUUUAAUAAAAGGUUUCCUGGAAAACCACUUUGCACCGGGGUCCUUGGGUUAUUUCCAAACUAACUCUCUCAGUUAUACCCCUGCGCUACUAUUUCUCUGAGUCACUGACAUUGCGCAAAACCCCCUAGCUUUCUCUUCUUCUCCCCCGUGGUCCCUCCCUAGGUUUAAACAGUACCCGCGAGAAAGAAAAGGGCGGCACGGCUUACCGACGGUGAGAGAAGUCCGGCGAGGGGCGGGGUUGGCUCCGGGAGGUCCUGGCGGUCACAACGGUGUACGGCUCGACGGCGGGGGUGGCCGGAAUCGUCCGGUCCACGUGCGCAGGCGGGUGCUCUCGUUGCAGCGGGUGUUCCGGCCAAACCACGGCGACCUAGUUCAAUCCAAUGGCACAGUGAGCCUCACAGGGUGACGUAGAGGCUGUGUGCACAAGGAAUCGAGGAAUGGAGCAGAGGAUUACCCGGUCUACGCUCGCCGGUGGUCGGGUGGAGUCCGGCGACCGUGGACUGGCCUCUCCGGCGAAGCAAACUCCGAUUCCUCGCUCGGGGAGCUUCACCGAGGUGUGCUCAGUCUUCUCCGAGGGUCGGACGGGGUUGGGAAGGGUUCUGUUGGCCGGUCUACGGUGGCAGGGGGAUCGGGCGGCCGCGGACACGCCGUGCACGGGCAAACGCCGGCGGGUUUGGGCUCCGGUGAGGUCGAGCGCGUGCGGAGGGGUACAGUCGAAGUCCCUAGGGGCUUUAUAGGCGCGGGUGCGGGCCAUGGCGCCGGCUUGGCUUUGGUGCGACGCGGGGCACGCGGGGGCGCGCACGGGCGUGCUCUGGCGAGCUCAGAGCGCGUCGAACACGUGGCUCUUUGCUUCUGCCCGUGUUCUUCCCUCUGCUGAGCGGCCAAAACGUUCGAAUCUUGCCCUAGAGCCUGUGAGAGAUCUCUUCCCUGCACCUAGAGCUACCUAGUUCAUGUGAGUUCCAAGGGUAGAUGUGGUCGGGUUAGAGAGAUAUGGGGGUGGGAAGUCGGCUAUGUCAGAGAUGUCCAAACCGAGACAAAAAAUGGUGCCAAGUCGUGUCAAACGUCUUAGGGUAGGUGUCAACUUUUUCCAGGGCAUUCUAGGGUUAAUUUGGCGCCACUUUGUCAAUUGGGUCGAAGUGUUUUGAAGUUUGAAUGAGGGUGCACAUGUGUGAUCUUUGGCCAAAGGUUAGUUUUGGACUUAGGCAAUUUCUGAUUUUUCUUUUGUGCUCAAACCUUUGGUGGACCUUUUGGGGCUUUUCUGAAAUCUUUUUGGGGUUACUUUCUUACUAUUAUUUGUAGGUUAUUAAGUGUACUACAACUUUUAUAUUUGGCCCAAGCCAUGAUCAUAAGGUUUUCAUGACCUUUUGGUCAUACUUACAUCUAGGGUUCCCAUUGUCCAAAGGGGUUUGCUUUAGGGUUUUGGGAAAUUCUCCCCUUUAGAUGUGCAUGAUAAGUUAGGGUAUGAUAUCCAAGAUGGGUUGCACUUGCUUAGGACCUUGAAUUCUAAGUUUGAUAUACUUUGCUCAAACUAACCCACAUGUGUUAGUAGGUUUAAAUGGUGUAGCCCUGGGUGGACACCCUGAGUAACACCUGGGGUGUUAUAGCUAGCCAGUGUUCUUGACAUGCUGAAAAUUCUGGGCACGCGAACACAGUGUUCUAUCUAUGCCCAAAUUUUCAACAGAACGUGAACACAUGCUGAAAAUUCUGGGCACACUAGCUUCUGUUUAUAUGCUUCUAGGCACGCGACAGAAUGUCUUCUGUUUAUCUUCUGCUGAAAAUUUUGGUUCACGUUCUGUUCACGCGUGCCCAUUAAGCUUCUGUUUAUAUGCCCAGUUAGCCAGAAUUCUGGGCACGCGACAAACUGGGCACAAGGAAUUCUGGGCACGCGACAAACUGGGCACAUACACAAUUUUCAGCAGAAUACACAGCUUCAAGUUUCCUUGUUUGGGAGCACAAACAUUACAGAAUUGUUUCCUUGUCUGACAGCACAAACAUUACACAGACAGCAACACACACACUGAGAGCACAAACAGAAGCUUUAGUCUGGGAGCACAAACAGACAGCACGCUUCAGGUCUCUGGGACAUAAAGGAACUUGUUUCCUUGUCGCAGCACGCUUCAAGUUUCUUGGACCAUCUGUAGUUCUACUCCCUUGUCGAAGCACGCUUCAAGUUUUUCCUCGCAGUAAUUUUCUUAACAAGCCACUUGACACUCCUUGCCGGAGAAGUAGGAGGAGUUUCCACACGGACUAGUGCUGCAUCAGCACUGACGUUUUCAUGGCUACCAUGGUCUAUUACAACUGUUUCUACAUCCAUAGUUUGAGCAGUUUGAGGUACAAUAGUUGUUUCUUCGUUAGGAGCACUAGUUUGAGAUGUAGAAGUCCGCAACUCUUUCGGGAUCCAAUUUUUCGUCGUAUUCUUUCUUGGCUUCCUCUUCCUACAAAGCAACAAAACAAUUACUAACAAGUUACAUCGAUUCCAAGCUCGAACUCAUGCUUUAUGGCAUAUUGCCUCAUAGCAAUUCGAAAUUCCUUCAUGUUAGGAAACAAACUACCAGGUUGCAUUGACGGAUUCAUUUUAUCAUACAUAACCCUCUUCUCAUUUGGCAGGUAGUCUUCAAAUGAUUGGUCUAUAGUAUUGUCUCCAAAAUUAAUAGGCUCCGAUUGAUCCAAAUUACUUGUAUUUUCCUAUGCCUUUCCCCCCUCAUUGACGACUUCAUCUCUUGCAUUUUCCUUUGCCGUUUCCCCCUCAUUGAGUCCUAGAUUACAAUACAUCUCCAUCUCACUUGCAACAUCACGUCUCCCUUCCUCCUCCCAAAAAUCACAUAGUACCAUAGAUUCCCAAUCUAACCUCGAUUUGUCUUGUACCUUUUCAUUUUCCUGGAUGACAAGUCUCUACUAAGUGAAGUCACAUAAUCCUAACCUCACUAUAUUUUACUUAAAUGAAGCACAACUAACCUCAUUAACAUUAUUUGCACCUAAUGCAACUAGCGGUAAGGAACUUGAACAAGGCGGUGGUGAAGACAUCACGGGACCUGCCAUUAAUUCAACCAAUAAUUUACAAAAUUAAAGGUUACAUGUGCACGAUUCAUACCACAGCAAGGCACAAAUAUCUACCUGGAUUUUCAGAUAUGCCUAUGUCUGCAUCAUUGAACAGCUCCAAAUCCUCCAUGGUCGAUCCACUGCAAACAGAAACCGAGCUAGAUCUAGUUGGGGGAGGAGACACGAAUGGGGGGAGAGAAGUUGAAUGAAUCAAGAACAACAGAGACAAACUCACGGGUGCGCACGUGGGGAAGAAGCGGGGACCUUCAUUCGGCGGCUCUAGGUCAUCGGCUGCGGGGAUUCUAGCUCGGUCGUACAGGCAGCAGCGGCGCUCUUCAAUCGGCGGCUCUUCGUCGGAGGUUGCUGCGCCCGGCUUAUGGAGGAGAUCUCGCGAGGGAGAACGCGACGACGAUGGAGGACGCGACGGCGAUGGAGGACAACUAGCAAUGGAGGACAACUCACGGCGACGACACAGGGGGACGGAACCCGGUGUCAACGAGAAUAAUACUGACCUAAACCUGUAAAUGAUUUAGUCAUGUCCAUUUUAGAGUGUUGGCUAUGCCCAGCUGUUUCAUAAGGGAGAAACCCUCUCCUAGACCUCCAUUUCGUCGAAGCCGCACCCGUCGUGUUUCAUAAUGUCAAAUUUCUCGUACAUAUGAGGAGAUAAAAAAAUGACAUUGUUAACUUAUUGUUGAGCCCCAAAAGGGACGGCCGGAUGCUUCGCGGUCCAGACGGUCUGCACUGGUGGUCCGGACGGUCCGCUCGUGCGUAGAGCCAAUUAGGGUUCUGAAUUUCUUGCUAUUGUUGUUGGCUAGAUUCGCGGAAUUAACUUGAGAGAUUUGUUUGUAACGGGUCCAGCCCCCACCUCUAUAAAUACAGAGGAAUACGAUCAAUUAAACAUCAUCAAUCAAAUCAAUAAUCAGUUUAUCUCGCAUUUAUUUCUUGUACAUUUAGUAGUAGUUCUAGUCUAGUUCUAGUUUAGCCUUCCAAUCCCCAAAUUCUCCGCUUCUGUUCGACUCUAUGUCGAUUAGAGGAGUCUAGGUCGGCCUGACGAGCCUAGACAUCACCUAGGUUCUCUACUCCCUGACGGGGUCCAUUCCGGGAGCAAGAUCUAGGCGCCGCCAGCGACCUUCGCCGCCCCUGCGCACGCGCGGACCGUCCGACCCAUCAGACAGGAAACUCUAGCCCUGUCCCAGGUCGCGGACCGUCCACGCCUAUGCAGAGAGCACCGUUGCCGGUUCUCACGCAGUGAUUGGCGCCUAAAAAGGCACCAACACUUAUUAGUCAUUCUUGUCUGUACCUUUUCGUCGGGGAUUCUUCAUUCGUGCAGUCCAGAUUAGCGAUAGCUUAUCUUCACAACAUGGUGUUUUCAAUGCCAAUCUGGCACCAAAAGGUCAGGAGAUCAGCUGCAUAACAUGAAGCACAGGCACAAACACAUGGCCAGACCUCAGAAGAAUGGAAAUAAUAAUGCUUUCACAUGAUUGAUGUCCUUUUUUAGAGCAGCAAAAACAACAAACCUUGGCCAGCUGUUGGGGUGAAGGCGAAGACGCUACCCUUCGCUCCAGCCUUCGUCACCAUGCAAAAACAACAAACCUUGACCAACUUUCACCCCUCACCUACACUCACCGAUUGGGGUGAGUGUAGGUGAGGGGGAGCUGCGAAAUCUUUUUGAGGGUGAGGAAUUAAGGAUAAUGCUGUUCAACUACAGGGAGAUGGGUAUCAUCUCGAAGGUUGAGCCAAUGUAAUAUAUGGUGCCCUCGCUGUGUGUAUGUAACCGCUAUUUGUAUGAUAAGGCUGCGCGCCUUCGUUGAUCCGGCCGCGGCCGUGGGCGACUUCUGUACGGAGAGUCUUUUGGAAAAGACUUUGAUUUUGCGCGCCUAUUAUUCCGGCUGCACCCUUAGACGACUUUUGCACGGAGAGUCUUUUAAGAAAGACUUCGAUUUUGCACACUUGUUGUGCUAUUCCGGCUGCACCCUUAGGCGACUUUUGCACGGAGUCUUUUGGGAAAGACUUCGAUUUUGUGCACUUGUUAUGCUAUUCCAGCUGCACCCUUAGGCAACUUUUGCACGGAGAGUCUUUUGGGAAAGACUUCGAUUUUGCGCACUUGUUGUGCUAUUCCGGCUGCACCCUUAGGUGACUUUUGCACGGAGAAUCUUUUGGGAAAGACUUCGAUUUUGCGCACUUGUUGUGCUAUUCCGGCUGCACCCUUAGGCGACUUUUGCGCGGAGAGUCUUUUGGGAAAGACUUCGAUUUUGCGCACUUGUUGUGCUAUUCCGGCUGCACCCUUAGGCGACUUUUGCGCGGAGUGUCACACGCGAGGGUAGUCAGCGCUGCCCCUCGCGGUGACUUCGGUGUGGUCGAAUGCCGAAGACCGUCGAAUUGGUCUUUUUCGACAUAUUGUGUCUUAGUUUUUGCGGGGGAUUUUUGCGUUUAUAUUACAUGGCUCCGCCUCAUUAAAAACCUCACCCCCCGGGAGGAAAAGAGUGCGGGCCGGAAUGAUACUGUUUGGUGAAUUACAAGGGCGUGUUAGCCUUGAGGAUUCAAACAAAAAAUUUGCGGAGAUUAUCGAUAUUCCAGGAAUGCUCUAGGUCCUCACCGGAUGGCGUGGUUAGCCUGUACGCGCUGGGGGACGCCUUCGUCUUGACGAUGAAAGGACCCUCCCACUUUGGCUCCAGCUUGCCCCGUGACUCUGUUCGAGUUGUCCGGACGAGUACGAGGUCCCCUUCGUCGAAUUCUCUUGGGACGACUGCGUGGUCGCGCCAGGCCUUCGUUUGAGCUUGGUAUUUGUUGAGAGCCUGCAGGGCGAAGACACAGUCUCCGUCGAUGAGGUCUUUGGAGGUUGGUUCGUCUACGUCGGGGACGGCUGAAGCGCUUGUCCGUGGUGACCCAUGUUUGAUUUCCAGCGGGGUCAUGGCCUUCGAUCUGUAUAGCAGGCGAAAGGGGGUGAAUCCAGUCGCCCAGCAUUCGGUCGUGUUCAGCGCCCAGACUGCUUCAGGUAGCAGGUCGGCCCAUUUACCCUUCUUGUCGUCGAGGAGCAUUUUCUUGAUGGCAGUAAAAAUCUUGCCGUUGGCGCGCUCCACGACGCUGUUGGAUUGUGGGUGAUAUACUGAGGCAAAGGCUAGCUUGGUGCCAAUGGAGAAGCAAAAGUCCCUGAAGUCUUGGCUGUCAAACUGUUUGCCGUUGUCGACUGUGAGCUCAGAUGGGACUCCGAAUCGGCAGAUAAUAUUUUGGUAGAAAAAUUUCUGGGCAGUCUUCGACGUUAUUGUGGAUACUGCCCUUGCCUCGAUCCACUUGGUAAAAUACUCGACGGCGACGAAGGUGAACUUGAGGUUCCCUUGAGCCGUGGCUAGUGGCCCGACAAUGUCUAGCCCCCAGCGUUGAAGUGGCCAUGUGUGGGCGAUUAGCUUUGUGAAUUGCGAGGGGUUGCCCGAAUGGGGAGCGAACUUCUGGCAGGCUUCGCACGACCUCGUGACUUGAUUUGUGGCGCAUAUUAUAGCGGGCCAGUAGAAACCUUGAUGGAUCACCUUGGCAGCGAGGGCCCUAGGCCCCGAGUGAGAGCCGCAAGUGCCGCUGUGGACUUCGCGCAGGAUCUGGAGGCCUUCGGUCUCUGUGACACAUUUGAGCAUGGGUUGACUGAUCCCUUUCUUGUAUAGCUGGCCCUCAAUAAGUGUGAAGUCCCGACUUUGGUGUUUGAGGCGCUUGGCCUCGUUGACAUCACCUGGAUGGUAAUAUCCUUGCAAGAACAGGGUUAUUGGGGCCCGCCAGUCUUCGGCCAUGAUGAGGUUGACAAUGCGAUGGCCCUCGGUGUUGGUGGUUAUUUGCAGACCCUCUGGGCUGCUGACGGCUGGUGUGCCUAUGGCGUGGUAGAACAUGUCGGAGGGCAGGGCUUCGCCUCUGGCUGCUGCUUUGGCCAACGCGUCGGCUUCUUCGUUUCUAGCGCGGUCCACAUGCUGCAGGGUGAAACCCUUGAAUUGCUUCUCAAGACUGCGAACGGUCGUAAGAUACUAUAGAAGUGCAGGGUCUUUUGCUGAAUAGUCUUUUUCGAUCUGGCCAGCAACGACUUUGGAGUCUGUCUUGAUUAUGCAGGUGGUCACGCCGAGUGCUUUCAGCUUGUGAAGGCCCAGGAUAACGGCUUCAUAUUCUGCUAUGUUAUUCGUGCAACUGUCGGAUUCCAGAGCGAAGCUGAGGCGUGCUGCGUAUCUAUGCUUGACGCCAGUGGGUGAUAUGAUGAUUGCAGCCACGCCUGCCCCCGCAUGGCACCAUGCGCCGUCACAGUGGAUGGUCCACACCUUCUCUGAGGGCUCUUCUUGCUGCCGUGCCGGCCCUGUCCAGUCGAUGAUGAAAUCUACGAGGACUUGGGACUUAAUUGCUGUCCUAGGCUUGAAGGUGAUGUGGUAUUCAGAGAGUUCGACUGCCCAUUUGGUGAUACGGACGGAUGCCUCCGGAUUUCUGAAUAAUUCGCUGAGUCCCCUGUCCGUGGUGACCCGCACCUUGAACGCUUCGAAGUAGAGGCGCAAUUUGCGCGACGCCAUGACGACUGUGUAGGCAAUGUUUUCCAACUCUGUCAUGUUGCAUUUGGAAGUUGUGAGGACUUCGAAGACGUAAUAAACUGGACACUGCCGAGUUGUGCCCUCUCUGUCCUGCUCUUGGACCAACGCUUCGCUGACUGCGUGCGGCGAAGCUGCGACGUAGAGCAACAGAGGUAGCGAGGGGUCGGGGCUUGUAAGGGUCGCCAACUCUGACAGGUGCUGCUUGAGUGAUGCGAAGGCUGCCGCUUGCUCUGGUCCCCAUGCAAAGUCUUUUGCGCCGCGUAGCGUCUUGAGGAAAGGUAGGCUUCGCUCUGCAGACUUGGAAAUGAAUCUGUUGAGGGUGGCCAAUCUGCCUGUCAGGCGUUGGACGUCUCUGGUUGACUGCGGAGGCAUCAUGUUGAUGAUAGCCUGGAUCUUAGUCGGGUUGGCCUCGAUCCCGCGGUGUGACACCAGAUAGCCCAGUAUCUUCCCCUGGCGAACUCCGAAGACGCACUUCUCGGGGUUUAGGCGAAGUCGUGCUUCCCGCAUAUUCGCGAAUGUUUCUGCGAGGUCGGCCAGAUGAUCCUCUUUGUUUUUGCUGGCGACGACGAUGUCGUCCACAUAUGUGAAAAUGUUCUGACCUACUUGGCUCUUGAGCACCGUCUUGGUGAUGCGAGAGAAGGUGGACCCAGCGUUCUUUAGUCCCUCCGGCAUUCUGACGAAACAAUACGUGCCGAAGGGCGUGAUGAAAUUAGUACUGGCCUUGUCUUCCUCCUUCAUAUAUAUUUGGUGAUAGCCAGAGAAGCAGUCAAGGAGUGACAUGACUUCGCAUUCGGUCGCACUAUCGAUGAUCUUGUCGAUCCGAGGCAGUGGGAAAUUAUCCUUGGGCCAGGCCUUGUUGAGGCUAGUGAAAUCGAUGCACAUCCGCCACUUGCUACUCUUCUUUUGCACCAUGACUACGUUAGCGAGCCACGUAGGGUAGGCGACUGGUUCGAUGAAAUUGGCCUCAAGCAGACAGUGUACCUCGGCUUUGACGGCUUCUGUUUUCUCAUCAGACAUUUUGCGCAUCCUCUACUUCUUCGGCCGCACCGAAGGGUCGAUGCCCAGACUAUGUUCGAUGAUAGUGCGACUGACUCCGACCAGGUCGAGGGCAGACCAGGCGAAGACGUCCUUAUUUCUGGAAAGAUAGGAGAUGAGUCUCUCCUCGUCUUGCGAAGUCAGGUCAUCGCUUAUGUUGACCGUUUGCUUGGGCGUUGCCUGGUCAAGGGGAACUGUCUUCGUUCCAUCGUUGCUCUGCAACUGUGCCUUUUCAUGCUCGUUGGCGGUUGGGCGGGUAGCCUCGGGGACUUCGCGCUGCGUCGUAAGGCAGUGUACGUUCCGCUGCCCUGGAACGAAGUCUCUUUCAAUGUUGCGCGCGGUCUGCUGGUUGCCGUAGACUGUGAUCACGCCUUGCGGACCCGGGAUUUUCAUGCACAAGUAAAGUCCGUGGAUGGCCGCUUCAAACUUGUUGAUGGAGCCCCGACCCAUUAUGGCGUUGUACGGGUAUACCAUGUCGACAAUGUCGAAGGUGAUCUGCUCACUUCGUGCAUUGGGUGCUACACCGAAGGACAAGGGUAGCUCGAUCUUGCCCAUAGGAAAGGUGCCCUUGCCGCCGAAGCCAUAUAGGGGGUUGUCCGAAGGCUUAAGCAAACUGUGGCUGAUGCCCAUGCGGUCGAAGGCGUGGAGGAAAAUGAUGUCCGCCUGGCUGCCGUUGUCAAGAAAAACUUUGUGCAGGUCCCAGCCUGCCACGCUGCAGUUGAUUACCAUGGCGUCAAUGUGGGAUGCACUGCGCAGGUCGACAUCUCUGGCGUGGAAGGUCAGCGGUACGUGGGACCACUUUGUUUGCACGACUGGGCCGGUGACGGCGACGUGGUUGAUGCUUCGGUAGUGGUCCCUCUUCUGUCGCUUCGUGUCGAAGUCGACGCUAGACCCCCUAGUGAUCAUGUGGAUGACUCCGCGAUACGGCUGAUCAGCGAAGUCUUCUUGUUUUGGCGCUUGGGGGUGGUUUGGGUGAUGGAUGUUUGGCUGAUGCGGGUGCGGAGGCGAGAGUGGAGGUGGUAUGACUUGUACCUCCUGAUGGUGUUGGUAUGUGUGGUUAGGUGGAUGCUGGGCGGGGCCGUGGUUGUAUGGUUGUGGGAGAUGGUGUUGAUAUGUGUGCGCGACAACUCUUGGGUUGUCGGCUGGUUGCGCCCGAGACAUCCUGUCCCUGGUGGCCUUCGUUUCCGGGCUGUCCCUCAUUGGGUGCGCGUAGUCUUCACCGUGAAACAGGCAGUAAAAUCUGCGCGGCUGCUUCGCCCGUCCUCGGCCCCGACCACGAGUGCAAUUGCCGCGGCCGUGGGGGGGAUAAUCUUGACGGCGAGGGGCCUCACCAGCGGGGUGCUGGUUGGCAAUGUUAUGCACCUAUUGCUGACUGCGGCUGUCCUGACCAGAGUUUGACUGCGAAGGUCUUGUCCAUGUUCGGCUGGACUGCGGAGGGUCCUUGGGUUUCCUCUGGGACUCGACCUUGCACUGGUGGAGCUCUUCGAAUCUGACAUAUUUUUCAAACAGCUGAUAGAGCUCUUGGAGGUUCUUGGGUGGGUCCCUGAUGCAGUGACUGUAAAGAACGCCAGCCCGAAGGCCACUGAUGGCGUAGUGAAUGGCAAUUUGGUCGUCGACCGAAGGCAGUUGUGACUUGAGAGUCAGGAACUUGCGGUAGUACUCCCAUAGGGUUUCUUUCUCCAGUUGCUUGCAGAGUGACAGUUCGGCCAAGGCGUCGGUAUCUGGGCGGUACCCCUGGAAGUUGAGCAGAAAUUUGUCCCGGAGACUUCUCUAGGAGUCGAUGGACAACGGGGGUAACCUGGUGUACCAGGUUAGGGCCGGACCCUCGAGGGCGAUGAUGAAGGACUUGGCCAACGUGGCGUCGUCCCCUCCGGAUGAUGCGACAGCGACUUGAUAGCUCAUAAUGUACUGUGUUGGGUCGGUGCUGCCGUUGUACUUGGGGUAGGUCCCUGCCCUAAAGUUGGCGGGCCAUGGUGACACUUGCAGUUGCGGCGCUAGGGGACUCCGCUCAUCAAGGUAGUUGACGCCUUGGAAUGCUGCGGCGUGCGGGACGACGGGUCCGUGCUGAGGAAUGAAUAGGUCUUCGAUUGGUGCGCGCUGUUGGAGGGGCAGGCCGUGCUGCAGAUCAUGUUGGCCUUCGCGCUGCAUGAGCGCAAUCUCUUGCUCGAGUUCUUGAGCCCUCUGCUCCUCGUCUCGUAUCAUCUGGCGCACUUUGGCUUGCGCAGAAACACGUUGGCGCUUGGCCUCGAGGAUUUCUUUCUGCUUCUGGAGGUUACGGUUCUUGAUGCGGAGGGCCCGCAACUGUAGCUAUUCUUCUGCUGAAACGCCGAUGACUUCGCCGUCCUCUGUGGCAUCCUCGCCCUCUAGCGGAGCGAAGCCUGGGGGUGGUUGCUGUGGCUGUCCUCUGGAGCUGCAGGUGCGGAGGCUGCCCUCGGGAGUAGGUUGGUCGUUGCGCUGUCUCUUGCUGACAGCGUCGUCUUCACAGGCUUCUUGAUGGGUAGUGUCUACAAGGGCCUUGCCCUUUUUCUCGGCUAGCAGUGCAGCCUUCGCUGCUUCGUCAACGGAUGGCGCUGCCUUCGAGCUAGCUCUCUUGGGUGCCAUCGCGGGUGUUUUGUUCGUAGCACGAACGGUGGACGCUAAAUGUUGGAACUUGUUCUCCUGGGCAAGAUGAUCCAACGGGGGAAUGAAAGUAAUGCAAACAAGGUUUUAACUCGAGAUGACGAUUGCUCUGUUAAUCCAGCCUCUCAAGGGCACUGUACGUGGGUAUUUAUAGGUGCCUGAGUGCCAACGUCUCGACGUAAGGACGCAUAUACCCUCAGGCACCUGGACUAUCCCAGGAAUAUUCCCAUAAAGGAGGGUUACAGACUGUCAUUACAGAAAAGCCAUUACAAAUCGGGCCCGUAACACACUUCUCCGUGCGGGGCCUGUUACAAUGGGCCGAAUCCCACGUGGGCCUCUGGGUGGGGUGAGGACGUGGGACGGGGCGAUGUCGUCGUAGGCCUUCGUCUCGUAGUGUAGAGGACGAAGGGUGGACCCCGCCGGUUGUUUUGCCUCCGUUGGUGCAGCGAGAUUGACGAAGGCUGGAGCGAAGGGUAGCGUCUUCGCCUUCGCCCCAACAUCAGCCUUUGGUACACCUUUCUCAAUCAUACGAUUUCUUUAGUCAUAUAAAACUAGGAAAAAGUGAAGCGAGGUCACCUACUCCUAUGUCCGAAGAAUCGCAAUCGAUGCUACACAAAAUACAUAUAACAUGGAACAAAUUGUGCCACAAUCCAGAUGCUUCAUUAAUCAUUCACCCACCCACAUAGAGCCCAUUUCGAACAUGAGGGCCGUAUAAACAAGUAUGUGUGCAUUCUAGUCCAAUAAUGAAUUGCAUAGUAUAAUCAUACAGCAGUAUGGCACCACGAAUGAACAUGUGGUUUAGUUAAAAAGAAUGGGAGGAAAUAUGGUACAUGAAUGGGUGUAAAGAAUACAUUUUCCAGUUUGAUGAUGAGACAUACAACAGAAUCAUACAAAACCAAAACCAACUGAUCCGUGGCAACAAAAUCCCACUGGCUAUGAGGAUCUAAAGGAUCAAUACUCCAAAACGAUCCGAAAAUGACAAUCACCAAUGACCUAUAUGUUUCUAACUUUCUAUAAACAACUUUGGUUCUCUUGAUAUACACCGUCCAUCCACAUCUUCCAGUAGGCUCUCUGUUCUUUGGUCCCAGAUGUGCACUUCCACCAAUAUCUGUAGCGGAUGAGAACCUGGCAAGAGCAUAUGAUGUUGAUUGGUCACAGGUAAUGAACAAUCAACAUACUUAGUAUCUCCCCCCACUUGGUGGUGCCGGUGGUAACCGGUUAGGUGUGCGUCGGCUGCCAGAGGUGGCAUCCCCAUUUUCAUGGCGUCGGCCUCUAUCAGCACUUCUUGACCUUGUCUCAUGCUGUGAACUGGACCCGUUAACAGAGACAUUUGCUGCCGAGUUGAAGGCGGACUUCCAGUCCUCACCAGAGUGGCCAGGAGACCGUGGGCUACUCUCUGCAAUUAGAUUUAUGCCCACUCAAGGUUAGACUCCUCAAUUUGCUACCCAUAAGGCAAACAAACUACAGCAAAUGGAAAGUACAGCUGGUCCACAUAUUUACAACAAGCAAUAUCGAUCUAGAUACUUAACUAGUUGUUAAGGCCCAUUAGACCCAUGCCUACUGCCUGUAUAUAUCCUAUAGUACAUAGGGACUGUUAUUAGUUGUUAAUCCUAAGGUUAGUAACAUGAUAACAAAAUUAGGGUUUUCUAUUAGAAUACUGUUAGGGUUUUGGGGCAAGUCCAUGUGUAAUUACUUGCAUAUCCACAGUGUAAUGGGCUUGGCCCAAUUACUCAGUAUGUAUAUAUAUAUGCACUCCCAACCCAGUUAAGGUUUCCCAUUCCAACUUGUAACAGAGCCAAUUUUUCCUUCCCCUCCCACCUCCCCAGCCACUGGCCUAGGCUCCUCCCUGUCUGGCUGCCUGAUUUCCCCUCCACCUCACCGCCGGCCAUCUUCCAGGCGCCGACCGACCAUCCUCCCUCCCCGCCUGGACUAGGCCGAAACCGUCGGGCCCUGCGCCGCCCCGCUCAGGCGCGCGCUCGCCGACAUCCUCCCUCCUCGUCUGCGCCUGGACUAGGCCGACACCGCUGAUCCUUACGCCGUCCCGACCAGGCUACGUGCGCUCGCUGGAGCUCGCCGAUCUCGCCCGGCUCCGCGCCAAUCCCUGCACUGCGCGCGCCAUCUUCUUGGUCGGGCACUGCCAGCCACCCUCCCCCUGCGCGGCCAACCCCACCGUCGUCUAUCACUGACGCGAGCAGGCCAUGCCCGCGGCUCCCGACAUCCCGGCUACCCGCUCUGAGCCACCUGUGUUCCACCCGAUCGCCAUUCACCACGACCCCAGGCACGUCCACCCAAUAGUGACUCGAUGCGCCGCCGGCGUUCUCUGCCCCGUCGACCGGUUGAUCCUGGCAGCUGACACGACCGCCACCCCUCCAGACGCCUCCCUAGUCCCCUCCUCCGUUCGCGCCGCCCUCGCCGACCCGCACUGGUGUCACGCUAUGGAGGAGUACGCGACCCUGCUGGCCAACCACACCUAGGACCUGGUGUCGUGUCCCCCAAGCACUAACGUGGUCACCGGUAAGUGGCUCUUUCGCCACAAGUUGACCUCAGAUGGCUCCCUCGACCGCUACAAGGCCCAUUGGAUCCUUCAGGACUUCACCCAGUGCCUCGGAGUGGACUACGACGAGACCUUUAGCCCUAUCGUCAAGUUCGCCACCGUUCGCGCUGUCCUCUCCCUCGCCCUCUUUUGGGUUGGGCGAUCCAUCAGGUCGACGUCAAGAGUGCCUUCCUCCACGGGUGGUCAUAAAUAUUCUAUUAUUUUUAUUGAUGAUCAUUCUCGUUAUACUUGAAUUUACUUCAUGAAACGUUAUUCUGAAUAGGUUUCUAUUUACAAGUCUUUUGCUCGCAUGACCCACACCCAGUUUUUUGCUCCCAUUAAAAUUUUCCGUUUUGAUUAUGGUGAAUUUUUAUCUGACAAUUUUCGCUAGUUAUUGACCUCAGAGGGUACACUUACUCAACUUUCUUGCCUUGGUGCUCAUGCCCAAAAUGGCGUUGUUGAACGUAAACAUUGUCAUGUUAUCAAGAGUGCACGGACUCUUUUGAUAUCUUCUUUUGUUCCCUCACACUUUUGGGGUGAAGCUGUUCCUACUGCAGUUUAUCUCAUUAAUAGACAACUGUCAUCCAAACUCUCUGGCAAAAUACCUAGUGAAGUUCUUUUUGGGACACCACGAUAUGAUCACCUUCGAAUGUUUGGAUGUACGUGUUAUGUCUUGUUUCCACCUUGUGAGCGAACUAAACUGCUUGUUCAAUCUAUUGAGUUUGUUUUCCUUGGAUACAGUCCUGAACACAAAGGCUAUCGUUGUUACGAUCCAUCUACUCGUCGCAUUCGUAUUUCAAGAGAUGUGAGUUUUAAUGAAAAUAGACCCUUCUUUCACAACCGGUCCACUCACACGUCAUAUUUUCUCGUAGAGUCCACCUCAUUCAUAUGUCUUCCUUCAUUUCAUGAUUCUUCUACGCCACCCUCUUCUAUAUCCGCACCUGAUGUCCACAUUCCCAUAACACCACCUUCCAUCUCCACAUCACCUUCACCUUACUCUUCCAAACCACCUGUCAUCCAGACCUACAUUCGUCGUUCCUGCCCUAUUACCACGACUAGUCCUGAUACUUAUCCUGAUGAAGAUUCUUGUACUAACAAUACUGAGUCUUGUAAUGUUUUUAAUCAAGGAUAUCGUCUUCGUGAUCGUGGCACAAUUGAACCUCUAGAUCGCUAUGGUUUUCCACUCGCUGGUGUGGCAAUUAUUGAACCAUCCUCUUAUCGGGAGGCUUCUGCGAUUCCUCAGUGGCAGCUUGCUAUGAUUGAAGAAUUGUCUACCCUUGAUCGCACUGGUACAUGGGAUAUAGUUCCUUUACCCUCGCAUGUUGUACCAAUCACAUGUAAAUGGGUCUUCAAAGUUAAGACAAAAUAUGAUGGUUCCAUUGAGAGAUAGAGACUUGAUUAUGAUGAGACAUUUGCACCAAUUGCACAUAUGACUAUUCUCCGUACUUUGAUUGUUGUUGCAGCCUCAUCUUCUUAGACUAUCUCUCAAAUGGAUGUUAAAAAUGAUUUUCUUAAUGGCGAUCUGCAUGAAGUUUAUAUGCAUCCCACUCCAGGGGUUGAGACUCCCCAAGGGCAUGUUUGUCGUCUCCGUCGUGCCUUAUAUGGUCUGAAACAAGCUCCUCGUGCUUGGUUUAAGAGAUUUAUUUCUGUCAUCACGGCUGGUGGUUUUUCUCCUAGUGAUCAUGAUCCUGCAUUAUUUGUUCAUAUCUCUACAAAAGGUCGUACUUUACUCCUAUUAUAUAUGGAUGAUAUGCUGAUUACAGGUGACGAUUCAGAGCAUAUUUCUCUUGUAAACAAGCAUCUUAGUAAGGAAUUUCAUACGUCUCAUUUGGGACCUCUCAGCUAUUUCUUGGGAAUUGAAGUACAACAUACCUCAAAAGGUUUUUAUCUGUCAUAAUCCAAGUACAUACAAGAUCUUGAUCGUUCUGGUCUUACUGAUACACACACAACUGUGACACCAAUGAAUAUUCAUUUACAACAUUGUCCGACUGACGGGACACCACUAGUAGAUCCAUCUCGAUAUCGACAUAUUGUCGGCAACCAUGUUUAUCUCACAAUCACUAGACCUGAUAUUGCUCAUGUUGUUCAUAUUCUGAGCCAAUUUGUAUCCACACCUACCUCAGUUCAUUAUGGUCAUUUGCUUCGUGUUCUGAGAUAUUCACGCGGGACAAGAUCUAGAUGUUUAUUCUAUGCUUCUGAUAGCCCACUUCAGCUUCAUGCUUACUCUGAUGCAAUUUGGGCGAGUGAUCCAAUUGAAUGCCGCUCUAUUACAUGUUACUGUAUUCUACUUGGAUCCUCCCCUAUUGCCUGGAAAUCCAAGAAACAAGCAACAAUACCUUGUUCUAAUACUGAAGUAGAACUUCAAGCUCUUGCUACUACUGUUGCUGAAAUUAUUUGGAUGCGAUGGCUCUUGGUUGUUCACUGGUCUCUUGUGACACCCCUACACCUCUGUUAUGUGAUAACAUGGGCGCUAUACAGAUUUCACAUGAUCCAGUGAAGCAUGAACUUACUAAACACAUUGGUGUUAAUGCAUCGUUCACCCGAUUCAAUUGUCAUCAGAAGAAUAUUGAUCUUCAAUAUGUGCUCUCGGAAUCUCAAUUGGCGGAUUUCUUCAGCAAAGUGCAAACCAGAGCACAACAUUAGUUUCACUUGAUCAAACUCAAUGCUUUAGAUCCUUCACUUCCACCUUGAGUUUGAGAGGGGUGUUAAGGCCCAUUAGACCUAGGCCUAAUGUCUAUAUAUAUAUUCUAUAGUCCAUAGGGACUGGUUAUCACUUGUUAAUACCAAGGUUAGUAACACUAGUUAUCUGAGCUUCUAGAAAUUGCAGGUGAACUUAUAAACUAAGCAUCAUACUAAAUUGUUGCAAGAUCAUUAUAAUGUGCAUUUCUGGACUACAAUGAAGAAGGUUCUUGUUUGAAGUAUAUAGAACUUACCAGCUCCAGAACUAUCGUUCGCAUAUGAAGCUGCUCUAUUGUCAUGAAUGCUGAGCUAGCGAGUGAGCUUUGAUAAGAGGGAUGAUUGUUUUUCAUAUUUUUCCCGCCUACGUUUAGCAUUGUGGUCUUCUUGGAGUAGUUCUUCGAUCUUUGCAUUGCUUUGUGCACUAGAAGUGAGAAAAAGUAAGUGGCUCAGCAAUGAAUUAUUGCAGUAAAAUGAAAUGACAGUGGAACAAAACAUUUUCUUCAAAGUACUUCAAAAUACUAGUGACACCCUUCAACAGUCACAAUACAGGAGCACAAAGUGAAACAACAGGAAAAGGUGAAGCACACAAGUAAAAGAAGACUGCAAAUUUAAUAAACUUCUCCUAGAACAAAGUUCACAAAAUAUACUAGUAAAGCAAAUGAUAAAACAAGAUGAGAAAUACAAAUACUAGUAAUAUAUUGUGCCUGCACCUGCGUGAUGCGUAAAAGUUAUAAGUGCAAUAAUACCAAAGACAUCAGUGUGAGAAGUAAUUAAGCAUAUUAAUUUGUAGAACUAAAGUAUAGAUAGAGGCACUACUUUAUCGGUUUCCUCAUUUCUUAGAAUGUAAUAUGCAAAACACCUUUAGAGGCGGAGAGACAGAGACAUUGAUGAAUCUACGGAGAGACAGAGAUAUUGAUGAAGAUGUUAGCCAUAGAAUCAAAACAGGAUGGAUGAAAUAACAUCAAGCAUUUAAUAUUCUAUAUGACAAGAGGGUACCACAGAAGCUAAAAAGACAAGUUUUAUAGGACGGCGAUUAGAACUGCUAUGUUGUAUGGUACAUAAUGUUAGCCUACAAAAAAAACUCGACCUGCGGGGUAAGACCGCCCUCGCGGUAUUUUGUUAAGAAGACAUUCUCAUGCAGGUCGAGAAAACCCCCCGAACCCCUGCCCUACCCAUACAUAGCGGCACCGUAGCCCAUAUGAGAAUGACCGCGACCGGAGCCGAGCCUUAGACAUGUGCUUUAGCGUGGGACAGACGAGAGGAUUUUUUUAACCGCAGCCUGAAAAUUCGCUCCCACGGUGAGUCGACCCAGGACAUGAGGAGUGCUACUCAGACCAUCUACCAACUCAAAAGAUGACAUGUUUAGCAUAUAAGUGUUGCAUAAAUGCAUAUGUUGUGUUCGAUUUGUGACCAUACAAGAAGGGGUCGAGUCUGGAGUGAUGAUAUACGUGAUAGGCUAGAGGUAGCACCAAUUGCAGAAAAGCUUGUCCAACAUCGGUUGAGAUGGUUUAUAUUAUACAUGUCCAAUAGAGACUCCAGAGGCGCCAGUGCGUAGUGGGAUCCUAAGGCGUGAUAGUAACGAGAAGAGGGGAAGACCGAAGUUGACAUGGAAAGGGAGAGGAAGAGGAAGAUUAAAGUUGACAUAGGAAGAGGUAGUAAAAGAUAGGAUAUAUCCAAAGCUUUAGCCUUGGAUAGGAGUGUAUGGAAAACAAUUAUCCAUGUGUCCGAACCAUGAACUUAUGGAUUCUAUUAGGUUUUUAACUCUAGCUUAUCCCAACUUGCUUAGGAUAAAAUGUUCUGUUAUUGUUGUAAUAUGCAAAACACCUAACUAACAAGAUCAUAAGUAGACCUUCACAUAGCCAGCCAGGAAUCACAAAAAAGUAUUUUGUUGCAAAUCCAUCUAGAUGGUAGAAGAGCGGGCCUGGUACACUAGUGAGAGCUGUCUCACUGAGUCAUGAGGUCACGAAUUCAAUGCAAUAUCUUCGUAUUUGCGGGAGGAAGGUUUGCCUCGGUUUAUUCCUUCCUCAAAUCCCACUUAUGUGGGAACCUAUGACACUGGACAUGUAGUUCCAUCUAGAUGGCACCGCCUUGUCUUUUUAUAUGGCAUAUAGUUUUGUCAAGCCAUUCAUGUAAAUUUGUUGAUGUUUUUUAGGCUUUGCUCUUUUUGUAGUAUAUUCCCUCACAUUCAUGGUUAAUACCUCAUUAAUUGUUCUCUCUCAAGUUUCUAAGCUAAAUAGGGGUAGCAUGAUAUUGGUAAUUAUCUCUUUUCUUUCUCUAGGUUCCAACUUCCAAGGCCUUAUCAGUCGUUGUGUCCAUCCCUAAUGUGUCUUAUGCUUUGAGCGUAGUUUAUUACAAUUUUCAGUGAAGGAGGGGAAAAUGAGUGAGCUCAUUCAAGAAGGAUAACUAUGCCUAAUUUAUUUUCGUAGAAUAACAACCAACCUUAUUGAGCUGUAUAAUUGGUUUAGCAUAUCUUCUUUUGAUUUCUCCACUUGGCAAAGUACAAGAGCCUAGUCAUGCAGAAGACGAUGAACAUUACUCUAUGAAUCACAAGGUUCAGAUUAUCGAUUGAAACUACGAGUACAAACCUUUGGAACAUUUGCGGCAAAACUGUUCAAAACAGCUUCAACAUAACCACGAACUUCUUGAGACAUCCAUCGAAGUUCUUCUUCAGGAUCAGCAGGCCUCCGGGUCAUUGUAUCCUUAAACAGAAAAGAGUUGCAGAAUAACAGUAAAAUAAGUGAUCUUAUGUUCGAUACAUUUAAAUGAAAAACAUGCUUUAGCCUUUAGGUAAGGUAAAAAACAAUAGAUAUUCUUUAGUAGAUAGCAAGAAAUGAGAAAUAUCCGCUCGGUAGGUGACCUGCAAAAUGACUCUCCAUUGACCACACUUUUCCUUUCCUUUCAUGUCCACAUAUUCUUUUUUACCCGCCCAACUUUAGUCAGUCCGACUUGACAUGUUUGCUUUGGGAAGGUAUAAGCUAGCAGGUUCAAUUGCACUUGCAACAGUUCACACAGGCUAGACGAUUGACCUUUGCAUUGGCCAAGGUGACGAUUAUGCUAAGGCUAAAAGGUCCACCGAAAAAAUACAUGUACUAAGACACAAGUGACAAGUCAUGGCCAGAGCUUACAAGGGAUCCAUCUGAACGGCUUUGUCUCAUAAACUAUCCUCAGUUGGACCCUUAACAGAGCCCCCUCUGCUUUGAAUAACACCUUUUAUCUUCUUGAUCCAUUCUAUUUUGUCAGCCAUACUCAGCCUUCAAUAUAACGGCACUGUGAGCUGUAAACAUGAAAAGGCAUUAAUAGCAACCAAAAAAAAAAGACAAAAGGAAUCCCCCACCCCCCAAAUAACGUACAGGAACAGACUUUUUAAGACACUUUUGUAGGCAACCCUAUUAGUAAUCUUAAAAACAAGACUUGGGCCUUUAUCUUGUCCAUUUGCCUUCUUCGAAUCCUUAGAACUCUUUGAGAUCUCCUCCUCCUCUAUCUCUACGAGGUUACAUUCCUAAAUAUCGCAGCAGAUAAUUCUAUUAGAAACAGAUCGUAUCACGCUUCCCUGUACAUGUUGUCACUCAGUUCAGAUAUGAAUCCAACUUUCCACAAUGAAAGAAACCGUUUAAUGUGGCUGGAAGUAUACUACUUCCUUUUCAAAAUGUAACUGUAAUAAACAUUUAGCUUCUGCUGAUAAUAUAAAAAAACAUAUUAAGACCAGUUGUAGAAACUAUUUUCCUAUUUGUCAUGAAACUAUGUCUGAAAAUAUAUUUGGUACAAAAUGAUGGUGAAAGGUUUAAAUUGGGGAACAUGUUAAUGUCAAGAGGGGCAUCUAUCAAACAGCGAUUGUUAUUCAUAAUAUAAGUUUGACAUCUAAGCAAACCUCCAGGACAAUGACGCCUCGGAAAUGUCUCUCCUCUUGCUUCUUAGUGUAUCCAAGCUGGACAGGGGAAAAGGAUCAUAGAAAAUCACGUAAGGUUGUUAAGCCAUCUCAAAUAAAGAAGACAAAAAAUGUCAGAACAAUUAUCAAAAUAUAACAUUUAGGAAAAAUCAUGAUUGCAUAAAUCAUAAAGUAGAUUUAUUAACCUUCCCACUCUUCUCAUUUAGAACAAACCACCUUUUGCUCCAUUCAUUAUUUUUUGCACUUCUCUUCAAAGUAACCUGGUGAAAAAAAGAAAAAAAUAUGUAACUAAUUGAAGUAUGACAAUGGCUCUGCACAGUUGGAAAACAAAUAAUAACAAAAUAUGGCUACAUUACACAUAAAUCUAAAUGCAAGUAUUGUAUACAAAUAGUAAAAGGUUACAUAAGAGUUAUGAAUAAGUAAACAAUUAACCAAAUAUAUUAUUUUUUUAUAAAAAUGGUUCAUACAAGGCAACCAAAAUUUUAGAAACCUAAAGUGUUCUAGUACAGUUAUAUAUGGAAAAAAACACUGCCAAAUUGCUAUGAGAAUAAAUGAUGGUUGUUCCAUCUACGGCACAUUAUCAUACCUGCAGUUAUUUCGCCACCAGGCCCAGCAACCUGCAAAUUUGGUCCCUCCUUUGUAUCCUUAUCUUGCUGAUUGGAUUUAUCCUUCAUUGAUUUCAGGUUACCACCACCUUCAUCAGAUACUGUUUGGGGGCUUGAAGCCUAAUGAAUGAAAAAGAAUGUUAACAGCCACGAAAAAAACUAAUACUGAGAAUAUAGUGGUGAAAGGGAUUCUCAACGCGUUCGAGGGGUGUUCAGGACUAAAGAUCAACUAUGACAAAACAGAAAUUUUCCCAAUUCGAUAUCCAGCAUCUUUAUGGCCAACGCUAAUGGACGUGUUCCCUGGAAAUUACUCUAGCCUACCCGGAAAGUAUCUAGGGCUACCCCUUCAUUACAGGAAUGUAAAAAGGACUGAUCUCCAACCACUAAUCGAAAAAAUUAACAACAGGUUGGCUGGUUGGAAAGGUAAACUGUUGUCCAAGGCUGGUAGGGAAACUCUAGUAAAAUCGGUGCUAUCUGCACAGCCAAUCUACCAUCUAACGGUUUUUCCGCCUCAUAAAUGGUUGCUGCAUUCAAUUGACAAAAUGAGACGCAACUUCCUGUGGAAAGGGAACAAUCCAGAGGCUUGCUCCGGGGGUCAUUGCCUUAUCAACUGGCCCACUACUUGCCUCCCAAAGAGUAAGGGGGGUCUUGGAAUUCUGGAUCUUGAGCGUUUUGCGAGGGGAUUAAGACUAAGAUGGUUAUGGCUACGAUGGAAGAGUAAAGACAGGGCGUGGACUGCCAUGAAGCUUCCUUGUGACAGUACUGAUGAAGAUCUCUUCAAUGCAUCCACAAUGGUGACGGUUGGCAAUGGAAAGAUAGCUGAGUUCUGGAAAUCUAGCUGGGUCCAUGGUCAAGCCCCUAAGAGCAUUGCACCUACACUCUUCAGGAAGACAAAGAGGAAGAAUAUCACGGUUGAAAAAGCACUUACUAACAACAAUUGGAUACGAUUAUGCUUCCCAUGCUCGGGGGAGGUUGAGCUUAGAGAGUUCGUCUCUCUUUGGCAGGCCAUAAGUAACAGGCAAGAACUCAAUGGGUUGGAAGACACCAUUACUUGGAAAUGGUCGGCUGAUGGGCAGUACAGUGCAAGCAGUGCUUACAACAUCCAAUUCUCAUCCAACUACAGUACAAUGAAUCUCUGCCCUAUUUGGAAGGCUAAGGUGGAACCGAGGUGCCGUUUCUUUGCCUGGACAUUACUUCAUAAGAGAAUCCUAACGGCCGAUAACCUUCUUAAAAGGGGUUGGCCUUGCAACCCAUUAUGCUGUCUCUGUAACUCGGCCCCAGAAACAAUUCUACACUUAUGCAAGGACUGCUCCUUCAGUAGAGAGGUGUGGAACAAAGUGUUGUCCUGGGCCAACCUUCCUUUCUUGAAUGGGAUUCUCAGCGACACAUCUUUGUAUGAUUGGUGGACGGGUCUGCGUAGCCUUUGCAACAGACAAUCAAGAAGAUGCUUCGACGGCCUGCUAAUUCAUUUUUGGUGGAAUUUAUGGCUGGAAAGAAAUAACAGAAUUUUCCAUAGUCAGCAUAGAAGUGUUAAUCAAGUGGCCCUUGCAGUCAUCGGAUAUUGCUAGUAGCUGUGGUCUUGUUGAUCUGGUCUAGUGGGUUUUUUGGCUCUUCUCCUUUUAUUUUUUCUUUCUUAUCCUCUACCCUCUGGUUUUUUGGUUUGUAUCUCCCAUUUCUUUGCUCUCUAAUCUAAUAUAUCUCGGAGUGGCAAGUCUUUUGCCCCUUCCUUUCAAAAAAAAGAAUAUAGUGGUCACUUUUUUAGUACAGCUCUUAAGCAACACAGAUUUGUGCAUCCUGAGAAAAGAGGCAGAAGUCAAACCCGGUUCAUCUUGAACUGUUCUGCAUCUUGCCCUUUCUUAGAUGCUCUGUUAUUUUUCAACUCAUCCUCACGGCGCUGUCUUUCCAUUCUGCAAAACCACACCAAGAACACAGAAAUGGAACCUCACUUAUUGGUAGCGCAUCAUUUCAUUUGGGGGGGGGGGGAUACUGAAGCCUUCUUGCUAUUAAAAUUUAGGGUGAUGGUGUCAUUUAGGUUUUUUUGUGUUGGCAAGAUUUUUAUGACAAAAUAAAUCAAAAUUAGGAAAGAGAAGGAUUGCUAAAUGAAAUUUAUGCAAUACAUAAUGACAUAAAUCAGGUAGAGCAGAUUAUUUGUUAAACUUACAUUACAGCAUAUUUAAUAAAAUAGGCAAUAUAUUUUUUCAAAGCGUACUGACCUCCUCUGUACUAAUCGGAUGAAGUGUUGUGGAGGAACAAAAGCUCGCUCCAUAUCAACAAGUGCAACCACCAUCUUUUUCGCGUCAAUUUUGAAAGCAUCUAAUGCAUUAGAUGCAAUUGCAAUGACCUUAGCAAAGGAAUGUCAUGUUCAGAAAUUAGGCUUAACAUGAAUAGUAAAUGCAAGUAGAAAAAAGAAGGGAAAACUGGUUACAGCAAAAGAGCAAAGUCAUACCUCCCGCUUGAAUGGAGGGUAUCUUCCUAGUCCUGGUGUAGCAUUUGCAGCAGCAUUUACUAUGUCUAACAAAACUCGGUGUACCUAGUGUGUGGAUAGACACAAUAACUAGUUAGCAUAUCAGAAGCUACAGAAUCAGUUAAAUAUUCAUGGAAGUGUGAUAAUCUAAAGGUACAAAAUAUAUCUUAACUGUUAAGUUUAUCUUCACCCAAAUUCAGGGGAAAAUAGAUCUAGACAAGUAAGUAGCUUUAACUGGUGUGAAUUCUAUCAAUUAAAACAUACCUCUUCAACACAGAGUCGUGAUGGCUCCUUGGCCUUUUCAAGAACUCCUUUUUUUAAGGAUCGUAAACCCUUCUCUGGAGAUAUCAAAUAAGGUUGAUAGCCAUCCGCUUCCAACACAAUCUAUAAGAAGAGAAUUCCAUUCAUUAUAGGCCAUUGCACAAUCAAUAAUUAAAUAUAGAACAGCUUUUGAAAUUUACCCUCUUCAUGUUAUUCAAAUCAAAAUGCCUGUCCAAUGGAAGUUGUUUAAUCCUAUCAGGAAACUUGCCUUCAAAACUUGCAACUAUUUUCCAACCGGACCCCUUUGAGUGGAAACAGUACAACAAUCUAGUAAUCAGUUAUUUCAUUUGGCAACAUCUUAGAUACAAUCAGAAAGCCACUAACAGGGCUUGUCACUAACCUUACCAGAAGUAAUAUGAGCAAGAAAUUUAUCUUCAAAUUCUCGACAUAGCUCCAGAGCAACAGCUCUUGUUCCUUCAGCACUUUGUACCAUCUGUUCUCCUAGCCUUGCAAGUUCAUCUUGCACUAUCUGAGAUUUACCCUGAAGUCUGAAAUUGAAGCAGGGUGUAUGCAAUUUAAGCAUUAUGAGCUAAUAUAAACUCAACUGGUAGAUAUAAUAGGUGACUCGUAAAAAUUUCAUAGUUCAUUGGCCUAGUGACUAAUAGAAAUUAAAAGGAGCUUUCAGGGGCAAUCAUCAAAUUGACAUUUUAGUAGUCAAGUAAAAACUGACGAUGUAUCAGUUUUUCACAUGGCGUCAUCUUACCAUUCGAAUGUCGGUUCGUAACUACAGAUGCAAAAGUUGUGGUAGGAUCAUUGAGGGUGUGUUUGGUUCAGUUGUGAGCUGUCUACUGUAAAAAAGUUAAAAGUCGUUUGGUUCAAACUGUUGUGAGUUGUCUACAGUAAACAAAUUGUAUACUGCUUAUAUGCUCUUUGUUUAACUAUAUAUAUCUCUUAAUCAAUGUAUCUAAUUAAAAAACGAUUUCGUAUUAAUGUUCCUGAUAUUUCAAUAAAAUAAAACUAAACUCCACAUGCUAUAUAAUUUUUUUAUUAAAAAAAUAUAUUUUGUUUCAUUUAUUCUAACACUUCAUUAUUUUUAGUCCCAUCUUAUUUUCAAUUUGCCAUAUCUCUUCAUUAAUAUAUUGAAUUAAUAAAUCAAUUUUACAGUUCCAUUUUUAAUAUUUUUUAUUAAAAAUAUUUUUAUUUCGUUUAUUAUAACACUUAAUUAUUUUUAAUCUCAUUUUAAUUUCUAUUUUUCGUAUCUUUUUAUUAAUAUAUCGAACUUGGAUAAGCAGCAAAAAGUAGGGUCCAAGUUGCUUUCAAAUUUGUACUACAAAAAACUGUUUUUCCAAAGUAGCAGCAGAAAAGCUGAACCCCUUUGGUUUAGCUUCUGGUUUUUCAAAGCAGAAGUAGGUUCAAAAGGUUGAACCAAAUGCACCAUGAGUCAACAUGUCGACUUUUAUUUGGACUUAACUGGAAGUUAGUACAGACAAGAACAUUUGCAAUCAUACAAUUCUAAGAUGUUUCAUUAGAUGAGAAUUAACUCGAUCCUCAAAGGCUUUUUGUUGAAUGAUAGAAGAAAAAGCCUAGAGCAUCUAACCUAAAUGCAGUUACAUAUUGUUACCGACUCCUCGCUGGUGAGUCUGUAACCUUAGUUUCCUGGUGUCCUUCAAUGGGGAGUGGAGAGGGAGAUUGGAGUGGCGCAAGGUGUAUUGAAGAAGAGGGCGCUGAUCACCUAGAUCUCCUGCGCCGGUGUCGUGCCUGGCCAGGAUGAUCCCAGGUGAUCUCGCCCAAACAGAAGGGAGAUCUUAUUCCUGGUUGAUUAUUACAGCUGAUGCCCAGCCGCCUUUAUAGCCAUAGGCGGUCUCAGGAUAGACAUAUCUACUGCUACUAUUUUUUUUUCUCGAAUACGCAGGAGAGUUGCGUAUCAUUAUAUUAAGUAGAAAAAGAUGGGGUGAGGUGUUAAAGAACCUCAUACAACUCAACACACCACCCAACAAAAGAAAAUGAGCAGGAGCACCAGUACACUAAGCAUACUAGAGACCUGUAGGAAACGGGUGACGCCUAAGAGGGGGGGUGAAUUAGGACUUCUAAAAGUUUUACUAAACUAGGCCACAAUUAAAUCCCUAGAGCAAAACCUAUGCAAAUAAUCAAAACUAGAAUGUGUAAACUCGGUUUUGUCUAAGUGUUGCUAUCUCUACCGCAAAGGCUAAGUUUCAAUCUACACUAAAUAAGUAUGACAAUAAGAUUGAAACUUAAAUGCUUAAUAUAAAUGCGGAAUGUAAAGAGCUAAGUAGAGAAGCAAACUCUCGUGGAAGACGCCGGUAUUUUUACCGAGGUAUCCGGAACCACGCAAGGUUCCGACUAAUCCUCGUUGGUGCCCCUACGCAAAGGGAAGCCCACGCGAGGGCCAAGCACCACGGUCGAGUAACUCCGUAGAGAGCCACGGGCCUUCUCCACGCGCAAGUGGUGCUCCGCUUCCGGCUCCUCUCGGACGCUCCCCGCCGUCUCCACUAUCGAGCUUCCGGUCGAAACGCCGCGGGCCUCGUUCCCUCCGGUACACGGUGGCGGCCGUGACACAAACGCGGUUGUCACGGUCUCGCAAGACUCUCGCCCCACUCGGUACAAUUACAACGACUCACGCAAGAGCCGAGGGGUUGUGUGGUUUUACAAAACUCACUCAACUAACUAGGAUUCACCUAGAGCAAGCGCUAAAGCGGUCUAACUAACCUAAGCACUUCGCAAAGCACCUACGCUAAUCACCGAGUGAUUCUAUUAAGCACUUGGGUGUUUGAGCACUUGGAAAUAUGCACUAUGUGUCUUGGUAUGUUGCUUGGGCUCUCACACUUGAGAAUGGCCGGUUGGGGGUGUAUUUAUAGCCCCCAACACAAUUGUAGCCGUUGGAGAAAAGCUGCUGCUCUCUGCGGCACACCGGACAGUCCGGUGUGCACCGGACAGUCCGGUGUGCACCGGACAGUCCGGUGGUGCACCGGACAGCGCACUGUAGCCUGUCCGGUGCGCCUAGCCGUUGCCUGUCCGACUCCUGUCAGAGCAGGUGACCGUUGGCGCCGCAGGCUCCGGGUGCCAUCUGGAACUAGCCGUUGGGCUGAAGUUCCCAGGUGCACCGGACAGUCUGGUGCGUGGGCACCGGACAGUCCGGUGUGCCACCGGACAGUCCGGUGCUCAACGCACAGACAGUCCGCAGGCAGCACACGCCUCCUUUCUUGGACUUUUCUUGAUCUUCUUAAUGUCUUCUUUUGAGGUGUUGCUUUCCUCAAUUCCUUAGUCCAAGUAGUUCUUGCAUCCUGUGAACUACAAACAUAAACACUAGAAAACUUGUUAGUCCACAGAUUGUGUUAAUCAUCAAACACCAAAACUUACUUAGCCAAUUGGCCCGGGGUCCAUUUUCCUUACAAUCUCCCCCUUUUUGGUGAUUGAUGACAACACAACCAAAGCAAGCAAAUAAUACAAGUAUUUGAAUUAAAAUAUGCAAUCUACUUGCUAAGAUGCAUGAUUAUCCCCACAAUGUGAAAUUAUGGAUUUAAGCCUCCCCCUAACUCCAUAAUUCACUUACUUCCUAUAUUUGGACCAAAUAACCAAAACCACUUGAAAAACCAUUUGUAGAUAUAAAAUUUUAAAUUGGUGGUGUUUGGUGUUUGAUAAAGUUUUCAUUGCUUUGGUCCCUAAACUUCUCCCCCUUUGGCAUCAACCACCGAAAAGGAAGACAUUAAAAGCAUGUAGGAAGUAAAUAAAAGCUUGCCCUCAACAAGAAUUGUAUCAAAUGAUAUCACUAGAAGGAUAUUAAAAUAAACCAUAUGAAUGAUACCAGUUGAAAGGAACUCCCCCUAAAUGAGUGUUCUCUUUAGAAAGAAGUUUCUCCCCCUUUUUAGAGAUGAAGAAAUACUCCCCCAGACAGAGAUCCUCUACUUAGGAAAAAGCAUGUGAAAAAUUAGAGGUGCAAGACAUGGUUCGAAAAGACUAACUUCCCUUAUGCAUAGGUAACAGAAUAUGAGUUAACUACUUAUGCAUUUUUAGCAACAUGGAAGCAUAUGAUAUGAAAUAUAGUCUAAUCAAAUAUUGGAGAAGACAUGUAAAUGAUACUGAAUGUAGUCUCAAAAGAUAGCAAUUGAAGAUCAAUGGCGAGCUUGAGAGACAUGAGAGUUCUUGGAGAUUUCGCAGUGGAAGAUUGUUGUCUUUCUCCGGGGACUUCAUUUUCCUUACAAUGAGACUAUCACAUGAAAUAGACUUGAAAAGGUGUUAGUCUCAAAGUGUUAGAUUAUAGAGUAACCUCCCCCUUAAGGUGUGCAUACAAGUUUUGAAUACUUGUAGGAGACAUGCACUUUGAUUUGAUAUCAAGAGGGGCAAAUUAUCCAUAAUCCAAACUUUGGCACAUAUAAGUUAAAUGAUACACUUUGUAGAAAUCAAAAUUUUCAAUUGAUGCAUCAUUUACUAUGGAGUGAUAUAAAAGCUAUGUGCCGUGCUUUAACUAAACAUUUUAAGCCAUGUAGGUUUGCUUAAGUAUAUGAAUUUAAAAACUAGCAAUCCUACCAUAUGAUUUACCUAGUAUGCAUGAUUUUGAACAAAAGUACAUAACAAAUGUAAUACUAGGCAAGAAAGGUAAACUAGAUAAAAGAUAAAUAGAUACGCAUAUCUAAAAACGAGAAAUACAAUAAAACUAGUUACCUUAGUCAUGGGAGGGGAAAUUUGGGUCCAAAGUCUUUUACUAAUCCACUUGGCAAUAAACUCUAUCCAUUAUGAUGUAUCCCAUGAUAUACAUCCAAUCUUUGCCAAGUCUCCAAAUUUCCCGCAGACCUUCGGUCCACUCACUUCCCUUUCGGAAUCCAAACCUUCUUGGUGCUCUUCAUGGUUGAAAUUAUUUCCUUUGGCACCCAGAUGCGUUUGGCCCCCUUUCCUUUGUUGGCUUGCUUGUUGGCCUUGAUUGCUAUCACCUUUCCAUUCUUCUUAUUUUUGAUUAAGUAUGGUGUAGCAGUCUUUUUAUCCACCUUUUUGAUGUAGGUGUUGGAGAUUUUGCUUGAUGGCUUUUGCUUGAGCUUUUGCCUUUGUUUAUCCCCGGUCAUCGCCUUGCAUUGGAAAGACUUGUGGCCUUCCUUGUGGCAUAGCCUACAAAUCACAGUUUCUCCCUCCAUAGGCUUGUUCACUCCCGCAGUGGUGUUAUCCUGUGGAGGUUGGAUUUGUUUGGCUUUGCCUUUCUUGUCAUACAAAGCCUUGCCAAGGCGAGCCACUUCUUGCUUUAAUUGUUCAUUUUCCUUUGCAACCUCAUCCGAACAUGUCUCUACAACAAUAUUCUCAACAACGACUUGGUUGCAGGGGUUAGAAUCAUCAAUUAAAUCAAAGCAGGAAGUAGAAGCAUCUUUCUUAAUUAUUUCAGGUAUUUCAACUAAAGAUGUUGCUGGGGUGCUACCAAUGUUUUCUAGCUUAGUAGUUAGCUCAUUAUUGUGAAUGCUGAGAAUUUCCAUUUUCUCUAGCAAAUUUUCAAUAGCUUCUUGGGAGCUAGCUAACUUAGCUUUUAGUUUUUCAUUCUUUUUAAUAAGGCUAUCAUCGGUAGCAGUGGAUGGAGCACUAGAUUCUAAUAGCUCAAUUUUAGUUGAUAGCUCACUAUUUAAGUUUGCAAAAGAUUCAAAUUUUUCUAGCAAACCUUUGUAAUCAUUUUGAGAGCUAACCAACUUAUUUUUCAAAGUUUUAAGUUGAGCUUUUUGCUUAGUGCAAACAUCCUGGAAAAAUUCUACGGCUUCCGCAAGCUCAUCUACAGAGGGCUUUCCCUCACCUUCAUCAUCGCUACUACUUUCAUCACUAGAGGAUGGAAUGCUUUUGUUACCUCUUGCCAUAAGGCAUUUGUGUGAUGACCGUGAUGAGCGUGAUGAGGAUCGGUGGCUGCGCGUCCUUGGAGGUUCAUCUUCACUUGAAGAAUCAUCCCAAGUUCUAACACUUGUUAGCGCCUUGCCUUUGCUCCUCUCCUUUUUGGGUUCGGCCAAAGUUGGACAGCUGUCCCUGAAGUGGCCCUUCUCCCCACAUGCGAAGCAUCCUCUCUUUCUUUGCUUUUUCCUAUCAAUGUUAAAGAGAAGAUCCUCGACCUGCAGGGGCACACCCAUUAGAUUAAUCUUGCGGAUCAUCCUCAUUACCUUUCCGACGCGUCGGAUUGUUUCUUCGUCCUCGGAGGAUGAUGUGCAUGGUUGAUUAUCUUCAUCAUCAUCACUUUCUUCUUCUUCCUCUUCUUCACUUGAGGAACUUGGAGUGGGAGCCUUCUUUUUGCCCUUCCUUUCAUCACAUGCAAAAGCAUAUGGUCUUGAGGAAGUUGGCUCCUCUCCCCGACUUAUUUUUCGCGACAUCUCGAAGGCCGCGAUUUUCCCAAUCACAAUGGUCGGGGUCAUGUUGCUCAAGUCCUCCAUGUUGUGAAGGAUGGUGAUGAUGCUCCCAUAUCUUUGUUGUGGUAGCAGGGAGAUAAUCUUCCUCACAAUGUCCGCAUCGCCUAGCUUAUUAAUGCCAAUAGAGUUGAGCUCAUUGAUUAUUAGAUUCAAACGAGAAUACAUGUCUCUAACAAGCUCAUCAUCUUUCAUAGCAAAAGAAUUAUACUCAUUUAAGACUAGGCAAUGUUUUUGCUCACGGACAUUGGAUGUGCCGUCAUGGAGCUCAUGCAAUUUUAGCCAAAUCUCAUUAGCAGUUUUCAAGGUAAAUACUUGAUUAAAAAUAUCCAUGCUAAGAGAUUCAUACAAGCAAUUUUUGGCUCUAGCAUUUAAGUGAAUUUCUUUUUCCUCACUCGUGGUUGGUUUCUCGGGAUUCUUGAGGGGUUUCAUCCCGUCACGAGUGACUCUCCAAACACCUAGAUCAACGGCCUCUAGGUAGCAAGCCAUUCUAGCACUAUAAUAUGGGAAGUUAGUGCCGUCGAAGUGUGGUGGCCUAUGGGUAUCCAUCCCUUCCUCUAAAAAGCGUCGGCUCUUUUAGCGGUGAAGCUAAAAACGUUUCAAAUGAGCCAAACCAGGCUUUGAUACCACUUGUAGGAAACGGGUGACGCCUAAGAGGGGGGGUGAAUUAGGACUUCUAAAAGUUUUACUAAACUAGGCCACAAUUAAAUCCCUAGAGCAAAACCUAUGCAAAUAAUCAAAACUAGAAUGUGUAAACUCGGUUUUGUCUAAGUGUUGCUAUCUCUACCGCAAAGGCUAAGUUUCAAUCUACACUAAAUAAGUAUGACAAUAAGAUUGAAACUUAAAUGCUUAAUAUAAAUGCGGAAUGUAAAGAGCUAAGUAGAGAAGCAAACUCUCGUGGAAGACGCCGGUAUUUUUACCGAGGUAUCCGGAACCACGCAAGGUUCCGACUAAUCCUCGUUGGUGCCCCUACGCAAAGGGAAGCCCACGCGAGGGCCAAGCACCACGGUCGAGUAACUCCGUAGAGAGCCACGGGCCUUCUCCACGCGCAAGUGGUGCUCCGCUUCCGGCUCCUCUCGGACGCUCCCCGCCGUCUCCACUAUCGAGCUUCCGGUCGAAACGCCGCGGGCCUCGUUCCCUCCGGUACACGGUGGCGGCCGUGACACAAACGCGGUUGUCACGGUCUCGCAAGACUCUCGCCCCACUCGGUACAAUUACAACGACUCACGCAAGAGCCGAGGGGUUGUGUGGUUUUACAAAACUCACUCAACUAACUAGGAUUCACCUAGAGCAAGCGCUAAAGCGGUCUAACUAACCUAAGCACUUCGCAAAGCACCUACGCUAAUCACCGAGUGAUUCUAUUAAGCACUUGGGUGUUUGAGCACUUGGAAAUAUGCACUAUGUGUCUUGGUAUGUUGCUUGGGCUCUCACACUUGAGAAUGGCCGGUUGGGGGUGUAUUUAUAGCCCCCAACACAAUUGUAGCCGUUGGAGAAAAGCUGCUGCUCUCUGCGGCACACCGGACAGUCCGGUGUGCACCGGACAGUCCGGUGUGCACCAGACAGUCCGGUGGUGCACCGGACAGCGCACUGUAGCCUGUCCGGUGCGCCUAGCCGUUGCCUGUCCGACUCCUGUCAGAGCAGGUGACCGUUGGCGCCGCAGGCUCCGGGUGCCAUCUGGAACUAGCCGUUGGGCUGAAGUUCCCAGGUGCACCGGACAGUCUGGUGCGUGGGCACCGGACAGUCCGGUGUGCCACCGGACAGUCCGGUGCUCAACGCACAGACAGUCCGCAGGCAGCACACGCCUCCUUUCUUGGACUUUUCUUGAUCUUCUUAAUGUCUUCUUUUGAGGUGUUGCUUUCCUCAAUUCCUUAGUCCAAGUAGUUCUUGCAUCCUGUGAACUACAAACAUAAACACUAGAAAACUUGUUAGUCCACAGAUUGUGUUAAUCAUCAAACACCAAAACUUACUUAGCCAAUUGGCUCGGGGUCCAUUUUCCUUACAAGACCAACUCCUCAAAUAGUAUGCCGAGGUAAAAGGAUAUCAGAUAAUCCGCGAGCCCCAGCCCUACACCAAAGAUGAGACUCAGCCAUGACCCAAUUUAUGACCUUGCUAGCCCUAGGCUGCUCUCCGUUGAAGACACAUUGAUUGCGAUGAAUCCAAAUGGCCCAAGCUCCUAAAAUGAUAAGGGAGUUCAGCCCCUUGCGCAGCUUCUUAUCGGAGGGGCUAAUAAGGGUCAUGCUUACAUUCUCCCACCAAUCAUCAAAGGAAGAAGAAUCGAGACUGGGAGAGGUGCUGCAAACCGACCGUUUUCAGGAUAUUAAACCAGACUUCCCUUGAGAAGACACAGGAAACUAGCAGAUGAUUCAUAGUUUCUUCCUCCUGGUCACAUAACAGACAACUUUGAGGAUGAGGCAGGCCUCUCCUUGCCAGCCGGUCAGCGGUCCAGCAGCGGUCGUGCGCCACCAGCCACAUGAAGAAUUUACAUUUUCCAGGAGCCCAACUCUUCCAAAUCCUCCUCCAUGACCUAAAGGUUGUUGAGCCAAUAAAGAAACCAUCAUAGGCCGACUUGGCGGUAUAAUUUCCUGAACUAGAGAGCAGCCAAAGAUGCUUAUCUUCCUGUUCCGGGUGCAAAAUCCAGCUGGCAGUGAGGUCCCAGACUUGAAAAAAUUCAGUCAACACAUUAACAGUAAUAGCCCCUCUAAUGUCCUGAACCCAGCUUCCAGUAGUGAGGGCAUCCUGAACACUCCUUUUCCUAGCCCUUGAAGAUACCAACCUGACAAGAUGAGGUGCCAACUGUUGUAGGCUUUGGCCAUUUAACCAUUUAUCUGUCCAAAAUAGAGUAUUCCUGCCAUUGCCCACUUCAGAAGAAACUGCUGCAGAAAAGAAGGCCAGAACUGAAGGGUGCACAUGAAAAUUGAAGGCUGCCCAAGGCCGGUCAGGUUCAGUUUUUUUAAACCAGAGCCAACGCAAUCUGAGGGCCCAACACAUAUGCUGCAGGUGGGAGAUGCCCAAGCCUCCAAGCUCUUUAGGUCUAGUCACUUUGUUCCAGGCCACCAAACAGUGGCCACCCAUAGCUUCUUUUCUUCCACGCCAAAGGAAAUUUCUCCGAAUUUUGUCAAUGGCCUUUAAAGCCCAAGAAGGAAGGUCCAAUGCCAUAGCUAAAUAAACCAUCAUCGAAGAUAGAACUGACUGAACAAGAAUCAGCCUUCCAGCCCUAGAUAGCAGGUCAACUUUCCAACUAGGCAGGCGAUCUGCAAUCUUAUCAAUGAAUGGCUGAAUGUGAUGUUUACCACAUAAAAAGGAACUAACCUAUUAUUUAGGAACUACUACUAUUUAGCCACAUAGAAAGGAACUAACCUAUUAUUUAGGAACUGAUUAAAUAGAAACUAUUCCUGACUUAUCUCCUCUUUCCUAUUUCUGCGCCUUGUGAAUUGGCGGCCCACAAAAGCAUCUAUAACAUUUCCCUCCUCUCCGACAAACAACUCGUCCUCGAGUUGUAUUUCUGGAUAUCUUCUCUUGAACUCAUUACAUUGUUCCCAUGUAGCAUCAGUCGGCUCACGUCCAAGCCACUGGACCAGUAACUCCCAAACACCUCUAUUUAAACGAGCCUUCACUACUUGUGCUGGAACCGGAAGUACCUUGCCAUGCAGAAUCGUUGGUAAGGGUACUAGUGCGGAUGGGGGCUCCCCUUGGAAUUUCUUGAGAAGUGCCACAUGAAAAACAUCAUGGAUUCUUGCAUUGGUUGGCAGCUGUAGCUUAUAGGCGACCUCUCCAAUGCGUUGCAGAAUUUGAUAUGGCCCAUAGAACUUAGGUCCUAAUUUGGAUGUUGCUGCUGGAGUGACACCCAUUACCGACCUUUGGUGCAGACGCAACCAAACCCAAUCGCCGACAACAUACUGCACAUCUCAACGACCACUGUCCUGUGCCUGCUUCAUUGUUACCUGAGCUUGGAUUAGCCUUUGUUUGAUGUCUACCAAGAAAACAUCUCGAUCCUGAAGUUGCUGAUCGACGGCAGCUACUCUGGUUGUCCCAGGUGUGUAAGAAAGCAUUGUUGGAGGGUCCCAGCCAUAUACAAUCUUGAAUGGAGUGCACUUGACCGCAGUCUGGUAUGACGUAUUGUAACAAAAUUCAGCCCAUGGAAGCCAUUGUAACCAAGUUUUUGGCCGAUCACCUGCCAAGCAGCGUAAGUACAUCACAAUAAUUCUGUUAACCACUUCCGACUGUCCAUCGGUCUGGGGGUGAAACGCGGAACUAAGUAACAACUUGACCCCAGCAAGGUGAAAAAGCUCGGACUAGAAGGCACUAGUAAACACUGUAUCUCUAUCACUUACAAUUGAGCACGGAAUACCAUGAAGGCGCACAAUCCCUUCGAAAAAUGCCCUAGCCACGGUCACUGCGGUAUAUGGAUGGCCAAGAGGAAUAAAGUGGGCGAACUUAGAGAACCUGUCGACCACUGUUAAUACCACUAUCUUGCCACCAACCUUAGGAAAUCCUUCAACAAAGUCCAUGGAGAUGUCGUUCCAAAUUUCCGAUGGUACCGGCAGGGGUUGCAGCAGACCUGCUGGAUGUAGAUGCUCAGUUUUAUUCCGUUGGCAAGUGGCGCAUGCUUGCACAAAUUCUCUGACCCGUCGUAAGGCCUGUGGGCUGUAGAAGGAUGCUCUCCAUCGAUGUACAGUCUUCUCAAUGCCCUCGUGACCACAAUUGUGUGCUGCUGCCAGGAUUUCUGUCCAAACUGCCAAAGCGUCCGGGAUGAAGACCUUCCCUUGAAAUAGUAGCAGACCAUCAGCUUCCGUCCAUCCUGAUUUUGCAGUUCCCGCUGUAAUGGCAGCCCGCAAGCUUAAGACCUGUGGGUCGGUGGCAGCUUCAUUGCGAAGGGUGUCAAACAGCUGAAAAUGUGGUGCCAAGAUGCUGUUAAUUUCUGCGGUGUCUUCGUCGCGUCGAGACAAGGCAUCUGUUGCACCAUUCAAUUUGGCCGUCCUAUACUCCACUGGCAGAUCAUAUCCAAACAAUUUGCUGACCCAUGUAUGUUGCGGUAUUGUAGAUAACCGUUGAAGGAGGAAUUUAAGGCUAUAGUGAUCUGUCCGUAUCAGAAAAGUUCUUCCCCAUAAAUAUGGUCUCCAAUUCCUCACUGCUUUGACUAAAGCGAUCAAUUCCCGCUCAUACGCUGGUAAUUUCUGAUUGUGUGGUGCUACAACACGGCUGAAAUAUGCAAUGGCCCCAUCUCCUUGAUGAAGGACUGCUCCAAAACCAGUCCCUGAUGCAUCACAGUCCACUAUAAACUGUUUAGAAAAAUCCGGCAUCUGUAACAGUGGUGCUGAUAUAAGGGCUUGCUUGAGUUGAAGAAAUGCCUCAUCUGCCCUUUCCGACCAACGGAACGCCUCACGCUUGAGAAGAGCCGUGAGGGGUGCAGCUAUGGUCCCAUAAUCCGCUAUAAACUUGCGGUAAUAGCCAGUGAGACCCAAGAAACCUCGAAGUGCCCGAAUGGAUCGAGGGCACGACCAAACUUCUACUGCUGCCACCUUAUCCAAAUCCAUAGAAAUGCCCUGAGCUGAGAUAACAUGACCCAAGUAAGCGACUGAUGUUUUGCCAAACGAACACUUGGACUGUUUGACUGAUAACUUGUUUGCUCGGAGUGCUGUAAAUACUUCCCUGACAUGUUGUAAGUGCGCUGCCCAGGAAGAGCUGAAUACCAGAAUAUCAUCGAAGAAGACCAGGACAAACUUCCGGAUGAAGGGUUUCAGGACAUCAUUCAUGAGGGCCUGAAAUGUGGACGGUGCGUUGGUGAGGCCGAAGGGCAUGACUAGAAACUCGAAGUGGCCUCGAUGAGUGCGGAACGCUGUCUUCUCAAUAUCAUCUGGGUGCAUGCGUACUUGGUGAUAUCCACUGCGGAGGUCCAACUUUGUGAAGAAGCAGGCACCGUGUAACUCAUCCAAGAGUUCGUCGACCACCGGAAUGGGAAACUUGUCCUUGACUAUUUUGGUAUUGAGGGCCCGAUAGUCAAUGCAGAAACGCCAGGAUUUAUCAGCUUUCUUCACAAGUAACACUGGAGAAGAGUAGGCCGAUGUGCACUCCCGAAUGAUGCCUUGCUGCAACAUGUCUUCGCAUUGGCGCUCGAUCUCGUCUUUCAACAAUUGGGGGUAUCUGUAGGGCCGAACUGCAACUGGUGGCGUCCAUGGCAGCAGCCUGAUGUGAUGGUCGUGACACCGAGGUGGCGGAAGGCCAUGUGGUUCAGCGAAGAUGUCGGCGUAGGACUGCAGUAAUGCUUGUAGUAGUUCGCGGGGUUCGGACAGGGCUGCGCACUGAGUAUGUGGCGCACCCAGUCCUACCCAACGCACCUUGCGUCCCUGGCGCCAGAACUCCAUGGAUAAGGCAUUGAAGUUCCACAAUAUGGGUCCCAAUGACCGAAGCCACUGGACCCCCAGGACAAUGUCGAAGCUGGCCAGAGGAAGACCGUAGCAGGUGAUGUGGAAGGUCUCCUCGAGAAUAGUAAUUCGGAGCUUGGAAUAUAUCCCGCUGCUGGCGACGUUGUCCCCGUUUUCUACCUUGACGGAGAGACCCGGUCUUGGUGUGACUUGGAGGCCCAGCUGGGUGGCCACAACUUCCCGGAUGAAUGUGUGGGUAGAGCCUGUGUCCACCAGCGCCACCAAUGUCCGAUCCUUGACCCUGACCUAGAGCUUCAUGGUGUUGCUGAUGUCAAUGCUCGUGAGGGCAUGAAGAGAAAUGCCCAGGUCUUCCGCUGCUACAUCUUCCUCCAUGUCGUUGUCCAUUUCCAGCAAGAAUACCCCCCUUGCGGUGCACUUGUGAUCAGCCGAGUACUUCUCGUUGCAGUGGUAACAUUCUCCACUUGCCCGUUUCGCUGCUAAUUCUUCUGGUGUUAGACGUCUGAAACACGACCGAUUUGUAGCAGCCGGCCUGACCCCCGGUCCUGAACCAGUCCCUUUGAUGGCGGACGGGUUCCGGUGACUUUGUCUAUCUCUGAGUGCUGCAAUGUUCUCCUCCUUGCGCUCAUAAGCACGGGCCAGACUCAUUGCGGUCUGCAGGUUUGUCGGGGCCAGCAGCUCGACAUCGGUGCGGAGGGGAUCUCCAAGACCUGCUGUAAACAUGUUCACCUGCUGCAUAGGAGACAAGUCAUCACAGCGACAAAGCAAGACUGAAAACUGUCGCUGAUAUGCCUCCAUGGUGCCUGUCCUAUAAAGGGCUUUCAGUUCUGCCAGGCCAUUAGAUCGAAUGGGUGGUCCAAACCUCAUGUGGAUGUAGUCAACAAAUCACGCCCACGACAGAAUGCCAUGAUCACGUUCCAGGGCAUAGUACCACUUGGCUGCUGCUCCCUCCAAGUGUAAUGAUGCUAGCCAAACUUUUUCUUCUGCCAUGGUUCGCAUCCCUCGGAAAUAGGUGUUGCACUUGUUGAUCCAUGUCAAUGGAUCUGAUUCGCCGUCGAAGGAUGGAAAGUUGGGUCGCGGUGGACGGUCGCCGCCUUCGUCGUCACGACCCCGACCGCGACCAUAGCCAUCUGGUCGGCCAUAACGAUCCGGGCGGAUGUAGAAUUCGCUGCCCCCAUCACUACGCCCACGACGUGGGGCCUGACGGCCACCAUUGUUGCUGUUGUGGUCGCCCUGGUGUGGUGGUCCGUCGCCGUCGUCAAUCUCUGUGAUUUCUUCCAACUGGACGCCGCCGGGUGGAACCGUUUCCACCCGCGCCAAUCGACGAUCAUGGGUGUCCAGCCGACCAUUCAUGGUUGUCAGCUGACCCAACAUCCUGUUCAUUGCGUCCAUGAGGAAGUCCAGCUUCUGUUCUGCAAAUAUAGUGUGGCAUUACAAUUUUCAUUUCUUCAUUAUAGGGUACAUUAGCAAUUGAUUUAUAGACUUGUUUGAGACAUUCUUUAGCAUGGGUCAGGUGUUUGUAGGAGAUCUGCAUUCUUUCCAACGUAUCUCCUACAAAUGGCCAGACUUGGAACAUCUCGCAAGUCGCAAAUGUGCUACGAAUUAUCCUUUCUGAUGUAUAUUUUCAAGUUUGAAGAAAUAUUCAUGACCCAUAUUAUGAACAUAGUUACCAUCUCCUUUCUGUACAUAUGUAGAAGUACUAUUUUGCUAUGAACAGGCUAUAAUUAGGCCAAAAGAAAAUGUUCAUAUGUUCGUCGUGUUCAUAGUGAUUUUUAUUGGAGGCGAUUCUUGUGGCAAUUGAGUGUUUGUCUUGUGUGUCUGAUAAAAGAUAAAAGUCUGGUAACACUGUUCAUAUAGAGGGUCGAAUUUAGAGGACAUUGCUGAAGAAGAAAAUAUAGAGGACAUAAUCUUUCAAAGAGUGUUGUAAAUGAUAGAGAAUAUUCUUUUAGGGAAUGAAAUUUAGGAGACGUUACUGGAGACAGUCUUAGUGUUCUAUCCGCGAAGUCUAGCGAAUGGACACAUUCUUUACCCAUCCAGCAAAAAACCUAAAGUAGUGGAUGGUCCUGGCACACGCUAUUGCUAGUGCGUCCUCUCCACUCGUCGAGCUACGACAGAUGACAUGGUCGUCGGAAGACGGAGGCACGAUACCGGUGCCUACAAGACCUACCUCGAGUAAUCGAGUUGCCACGAGCAGACGACAGAGGACCCGGUGGCGAUGCACUCUAGCGCAGGAUUGACCUCCUUCGAGACCAUCGGGUCAAGAGCCACGGCAUGUGCAUCGACGGCAAGUUUGGCCGCUGGUAUGGCAAGCACGGGAAACCUCCGGCGACGCUGCUAUGGGCAGGAGCUGGGCAUCUUGGCGGUCAUCUAGGCAUCUUCGCGGACAUGAGCAGUGCUCGGCCAUAGGCAUGAACACGACAAAUCCCGAGCGAUGCAUUCAACUUGUUCGGUGAAAUGUGUGAUAAGCAAUAUAAACACUUAAACUAUGUUUUUGUGUGUGCAAUGUGGAUUAUUAUGUACAAAAUAAAGAACGAAUUAUUUUUCAUAAUUACUAUACGUUCACAAAUUGUAGUAGUGAAAAAUUAAAAUUAUGUAUUUUUAAGUAUGGGCGUGACCACGAAUUCAAAUUAUACGAAAACCAAUGAAUAAAUAAUGUUGGAUAUGGAUUUUGUUAACACUGUAGAUAUAGAUGACGAAAUUUAGGGAACGUUGCUGGGAAAAGAAAGAUAUAGAUGAUAAAAUCUUUUAGAGUGGUGUGUAGAAGACAAAGAAUAUUCCUUUAGAGAACUAGAUUUAGGGGACGUUUGGAGACAACCUUACUUACUAUCCAUACUCAUAUCCACAAAAAACUCUGUCGGGUCAUCCAUAUCUACUAGAGGUAUGAAUUUAUCCCAUACCAUAACUGGGUCACCCAUCAAGUUACUCAUGCCCAUAAAGAUUAAACAUCUAUCAAAUAAUAUGUUAUAUAAACAUCGAGUAUAUCCAUCUAAAUACCAUUACAAAAUUUCUAGCUUCAUUCAACCAUCCAAUCAACAACAUUAUAGAUAAUUGGAUAAAGUAGCAACACUACGAUAGUACCACAUAACACAUUACAUUUUCCAUUACGUGGAUCAAAUAAUUGUUAAACCUUUUAUGACAUUAUCAUCCCAAAAUGUUAAAUAGUCAAAAGAGAUGGAUGACUAGAGCCCAAGAUCAUGCUUUUGGGCCAAGUUUAUACUUGGUAUUUUAUACCCACGGAUUAAUAGGUAUGGGUGAGGACGGAACGUUCUAAUACCCGUUUACCCAUUUGGUGAAGGUUUUUGCCCAAUAAAACACUUAUGGAUAAAAUAUUUAGCACAUAUAUAUACCCCUGAUGAAGUAAAUAUCCGAUUAUCGGGUCGCGGGUACCUAUUGGCCAUUGUCAUCUCUAUGUGGGGAGGGGGUUUUGGGCGUGUUUGGUAAUUUUACCUGGAGAGCAUUUAUGAUAGUCUGUUACGAGAAUUCAAAGCGAGAGAGACUCUAACCGAGUUGGUUAGAUGUCUGAGUAGCACUUCUUAGGUCUUGAGUUUGACUUACUAUGGGAGCGAAUUUUAAAUGUUGGUUAAAAAAUGCUCUUGCCUGUCCCACGCAAAAGCCCAGGUCUAAGGCCUAGUCCUGAUUGCGAUCUUUUCUCACAUUGGCUACAGUGUCAUUAUGUAUGGGUGGGGCAGGGGUUCAGAAGUUUUCUCGACCUAUAUGAGAAGAUCUUAAUAUAAUGUCAGGGGUUGUUUUACCCCGCAGGUCGAGUUUUUUUUACGAGAAUUCAAUGGCUAGAGAAUCUGAGUGUUUGGCCAUUCUGAUUUUGUGUGUAGAUUGUGCGUAAAGAGUGUGAAAUGUUCAAAAUGCCACUGGAUUGUCUCAUUGUAGGUCGCUGUCACUUUAAUGUAAACUAGUAUAAUGCAUGUACGUUACGACAACACACAAUCAUAUUUGAUGCGUGUAAAAAUAACUUUAAUAUCAAAGUAAAUGCAUGAUCCAUAUAUCAUAUAUUAAACUAUUAAGAAAAAAAAUAUUACAUUUUAUCUUAGCCAAAAAGAUGAAAAACAUAUGAAUUAAAAAGGAGUCUGGCCCUUUUUUAUAGAUCGCUCACCCGCUCGUCGCUAGCGAUGUGAUACAAUAUAGGAGCGUUGUGUUGCGUAUGUCUUUCUGUCGUGUUAGUCUUGGAUAGUUUCUCACGGCUUAUCUGUGGCUUAUCUAUGGUGCAACAAUUCAUUGGUAGGCGAGAAGCGGAGGAAAGGAAUAGACCUACACACUUCGCACAUGACGUACGACGCACGAACCUAAUGCUUUAAAGGAGUAGAGAUUAGGCAUGCACUAGUUUUUCAAAUAUCUUCAUAGAAUUAUGUUAUCUUGAAACAAUUAACAUGUAAUGAAAACAACGACGCAAAAUUCUUAACUCAAUCCAAAGCCAGGCUAGCAUGUGGGAUAUUUGACGUCAAAGAAUUACAGAUACCCUGUAGGUUGCCUUUGCCUUUUCCCUCUUUAUUUAAGUAAGAAUUCAUUAAUACAUUUUCGUUUGUAUAUGGUUGAUUUUAAUAAGAACUGACACCAUCAGAUGCAGGUUAUGCUAAGAUCUUCGUUGCCUCAGGGUCCUCCUGAUAUCCCUGUUUAACGUUGGCAAUCCACUCAGGAUGACAACAAGAGAUUGCCAACAAUAGCUUGGUAGCAUGACAUCGGGACAAGGCAUCAUCAGCCAAAUAAGUACUGCCUUGUUUAUAGGUAGUAAUCUUGAACUGCAAGUCAAUGAGCU
rnacentral:lncRNA from 1 species